AUCACUAAGGCCAUGCGAUCCGUCGAGUUAUCAUGAAUCAUCAGAACAAUAGGCAAAGCUCGCGUCGACCUUUUAUCUAAUAAAUGCAUCCCUUCCAAAAGUCGGGGUUUGUUGCACGUAUUAGCUCUAGAAUUACUACGGUUAUCCGAGUAGUAGUUACCAUCAAACAAACUAUAACUGAUUUAAUGAGCCAUGCGCAGUUUCACAGUCUGAAUUCUUUCAUACUUACACAUGCAUGGCUUAAUAUUUGAGACAAGCAUAUGACUACUGGCAGGCCCUUCCCGUGGACUGUUUGGGUGAUUUUGGCCAACGUGGGCUGUCUGUUCAGUACACACAGGACAUCCGUGUGUGUCUGCCAGCACACACAUGACGUCUGUGGCUGUCCGUCAGCACACACAGGACGUCCGUGGCUGUCCGUGUGUGUCUGUCACCGCACACACGAAGUCCAUGGCUGUCCAUCAGUACACAUAUCAGCACGCUGGUCCUUGGACUCAGCACGCUGGCCCUUCCCGCGGACUGUUCGGGUGAUUUUGGCCCACGUGGGCUGUCUGUUCAGUACACACAGGACGUCCGUGGGUGUCCGUCAGCACACACAGGACGUCCGUGUGUGUCCGUCAGCACACACAGGACGUUUGUGUAUGUCCGUCAGCACACACAGGACGUCUGUGGCUGUCCGUGUGUGGCCGUCAGCACACACAGGACGUCCUUGGCUGUCCAUCUGUACACAUAUCAGCACGUUGGUCCUUGGACUCAGCACGCUGACCCUUCUCGGGGACUGUUCGGGUGAUUUUGGCCCACGUGGGCUGUCUGUUCCGUACACACAGGACAUCCGUGGGUGUCCGCCAGCACACAAAGGACAUCUGUGGCUGUCCGAGUGUGUCCGUCUGUGUCUGACUGUGUCCGUCAGCACACACAAGACGUUCGUGGCUGUCCAUCAGUACACAUAUCAGCACCUUGAUCCUUGAACUCAGCACACUUGCCCUUCCCGUGGACUGUUCGAGUGAUUUUGGCCCAUGUGGGCUGUCUGUUCAGUACACACAGGACGUCUGUGGGUGUCCGCCAGCACACAAAGGACGUCUGUGGCUGUCCAUCAGUACACAUAUCAGCACGUUGGUGCUUCGACUCAGCACCCUGGCCCUUCCUGUGGACUGUUCGGGUGAUUUUGGCCCACGUGGGCUGUCUGUUCAGUACACACAGGACGUCUGUGAGUGUCCGUCAGAAAACACAAGACGUUUGUGUGUGUCCGUCAACACACACAGGACGUUCGUGUCUGUUCGUCAGCACACACAGGACGUAUGUGGAUGUCCGUGUGUGUCCGUGUGUGUCCGUCAACACACACAUGCCGUCUGUGGCUGUCCAUCAGUACACAUAUCAGCACGUUGGUCCUUGGACUCAGCAUGCUGGCCCUUCACGUGGACUGUUUGGGUGAUUUUGGCCCACUUGGGCUGUCUGUUCAGUACACACAUGACGUCCGUGGGUGUCCACCAGCACACACAGGACAUCAGUGGCUUUCAGUCAUCACACACAGGACGUUCGUGGCUGUCUGUGUGUGCCCGUGUGUCUCCGUGUGUGUCCGUGUGUGUCUGUCAGCACACACAAACAUCCGUGGGUGUCCGUCACCACACACAGGACAUCUGUGGCUGUCCGUGUCUGUCCGUCAGCACACACAGGACGUCCGUGGCUGUCCAUUAGUACACAUAUCAUCACGUUGGUCCUUGGACUCAGCACGCUGGCCCUUCCUGUGGACUGUUUGGGUGAUUUUAGCCCACGUGGGCUGUCUGUUCAGUACACACAGGACGUCCGUUGGUGUCCACCAGCACACACAGGAUGUUCGUGCCUGUCUGUGCCGGUCCGUCAGUACAUGCAGGACGUCUGUGGCUGUCUGUGUGUGUCCGUGUGUGUCCUUCAGCACACACAGAGGACAUCUGUGGCUGUCCAUCAGUACACAUAUCAGCACGCUGAUCCUUGGACUCAGCACGCUGGCCCUUCCCAUGGACUGUUCGGGUGAUUUUGGCCCACGUGGGCUGUCUGUUCAGUACACACAGGACAUCCGUGGGUGUCUGUCAGCACACACAGGACGUCCGUGUGUGUCCGUCACCACACUGUGGACGUCCGUGGCUGUCCAUGUGUGUCCGUGUGUGUCCGUCAGCACACACAGAACGUCCGUGGCUGUCUUGUCCGGCUGUGUCCAUCAGCACACACAAGACUUCCAUGGAUGUCCAUCGGUACACAUAUCAGAACGUUGGUCCAUGGACUCAGCACGCUGGCCCUUCCCGUGGACUGUUUGGGUGAUUUUGGCCCACGUGGGGUGUCUAUUCAGUACACACAGGACAUCUGUGGGUGUCCGCCAGCACACACAGGACGUCUGUGGCUGUCCGUGUGUGUCCGUCAGCACACACAGGACGUUUGUGUAUGUCCGUUAGCACACACAGGACGUCUGUGGCUAUCCGUGUGUGGCCGUCAGCACACACAGGACGUCCUUGGCUGUCCAUCUGUACACAUAUCAGCACGUUGGUCCUUGGACUCAGCAUGCUGACCCUUCCUGUGGACUGUUCGGGUGAUUUUGGCCCACGUGGGCUGUCUGUUCUGUACACAGAGGAUGUCCGUGGGUGUCCGCCAGCACACACAGGUCAUCUGUGGCUGUUCGUGUGUGUUCGUGUGUGUCUGUCAGCACACACAUGACGUCUGUGGCUGUCCAUCAGUAUACAUAUCAGCACGCUGGUCCUUAGACUCAGCACGCUGGCCCUUCCUGUGGACUGUUCGGGUGAUUUUGGCCCACGUGGGCGGUCUGUUCAGUACACACAGGACGUCUGUGUGUCCGUCAGCACACACAGGACGUCCGCGGCUGUCCUUCAGCAUACACAGGAUGUACGUGGCUGUCCGUGUGUGUGACACCCCCGAUCUGGUCUAAGUAUAAGUUGACUCGACCAGCCGUGCAACAAUCAAACAAGAACAUGUACAGUCGAUCACUCGGAACUGAAACCAAACCGAGAAGCCAUAAUGUGUACAUAAACGACUAACCCGAAGUUCCCGAAAUAAGUCCAGGUACCUUAGGCCAACCGCCUAAGUACACAUAUCCUAUUAGGUACAACCCGAGGCUUUACAACCUUAAGAGUAAUACCCAAUAGUUGGUUCGUCCGGACAAGGACUAAUAUCAUUUGGAACCCAUACUUUAAAAACAUUCUUUAUACACUAUAUACUUAUUCAUUUAAAAGAAUCUUACAAAAUCUUAUAGAUUAACCUCGAGGUUUUCGGUCAACAAACCUUAUACAUAAAGUAUAUCAAAACGACUGCAAGGAUAAUAAAACUACCGCUGGAUAAUGCCGUUCCUUCCCGUCCUAGACUAAAGGUCUCCCACCUACUGGUUACCUGCAUAUCAAAUGAGUCAUGAGUAACUAGUUUACUCAGUGAGUCUAAUCCCACACCCAAACACAUAUCAAUAGUAUUCCGAGCAAGCGACACCAUUUGAAUGCAGUGGAAUUAUAUUCCAUAAUUAAUAUAAUUAUAAGGCCUCUCAAUCCAUCCAUGUGAAUCUACCUUAAACAUCACGUCCACGAUACCCGCCAAUCACUCACUCUUAAUAUAUAUAUAUGCUAAACCCAGAAUACCACCAAGGCUAACCGAGCCUAACGGGGAAUAAAUAUAACCAUCAUCUCCAUCAGAUAUUCCAAGAUAGAACAUCCAAUGCUGCAUGCAGUUACACGGCCUCCAGGGUGCGACCCCAUCAUCGUGUCUUCAUGACCUUGAUCCAUAUCGCAGGACCAAUUCACGGUAAUGCGGGACUUUCGGGAGAGUGAGUAUACAAUAAGACUUCACAUGAUUCACACUGAUUAAUAGAAUACUUAUAGAUUAGUACUUGAGAACAAGUACUAAGGCUCGGGAUAACCUCAAAGAAUUAUUCUUAUUAAUUCUUAAGUAUUUAAACUAGAUAAAUACUUCAUAUAUAAAUAUAGAUCAAGGGAUAAUACUUAAUCAAUCAACCAAAAUUACUCCUUAAUUAAUUCAUGAUUAAUCCUCAAUUAAUCAAUGAUUAUCCCUUAAUUAAUUCAUGAUUAAUCCUUAAUUAAUCAACCAUAUUCAAUAUGCAAUCAUGCAUACUCAUUCAUAAUCCAUUCAUCAUCUAUCUAGACUCACCUUUAAAUCCAUGAGAUUGGCUAAAGAAGACUAGACUCGAGCUCAAGCUAAUCACACUUCACUUCUGGAUCACUCUCGGUUCAGAACCAUCACAAGGAUCCGGCUUAUCCGAAUACUCUCCUUGGCCAUCUGAAUUCAAAACAUAACAGUUGGAACAUAAGGUUCACUAGUCUGGUUCAAGAAGAAACUCAACUCAGUUCAUAACAUUUCAGUUCAAUUCUCUCAUAUCAGUUCGGUUCAAGACAGAUUGAUACCAUGUUCAGCUCGGUUCAAGCUUUAACAAUUUAACUCGGUUCAUAUCAGCUUAGUUCAUGCUCAGCUAACUCCGGUUCUAAUCAGUUCCCAACAGCAUAGCUCGGUUAUACUCAGACGACAUCAGUUCAAGACAAUUUCAGACCAUAGACAGCUCGGCUCAGAUCAGAUCAGAACAUACUCAGCUCAAUUCAGUUCUAAACAAGAUAAAAUCAGUUCGGUUUAAUUCCCAUAAUUCUUAUCAGUUCGUCUACUGGUUCUAUGAGACUGAUUAAAUCAUAAACCAACCAAGACUGAAGAGAACAAGACCUUAGACAACUGGUCCUGACAGGUUAACCAACAUACAGCAAUUGGUUCCCAUCAAAACAUGGCUGAAUCAAGAAGCUGAAGCUUACCGGUUUUACUCAACUAAUUAAACUUGACUGGUUGUCUCUCUUCAAGCUAACCACGAAUUAACCUGAUAAACACCACAAGAAUCCAUGGUUGGAUUUAUUCAGAAUUUAUCUCCAGUGUAGGCAAACCAACAAAACUUCUCACAGAAACUGAUCCACAAACAUCUUACCGAUCAAAAUCAAAGGCUGAAGAAUAUGGGUAAUUCUAAACUCUUGGACACCAAACCUUCAGCUCUUAACCACACCAGAACACACUGGAUAAAGUCACAGGAUGGUGAGAAAGGUUUGUCCAUGCUCAAUUCACUUCUCUGAAUUUUUUCUGAAUUUUUCAACUAGUUUUUCUCACAAAUUUUUCUCUCUUCUUUCUCUCUGAAUUUUUCUCUGGUUUUUCUUGCAGGUUAUGAACGUCCAGAGGAGAGAAGAUGGUGUUUUAUAACAUAAGAAGUUGCUUCAGGUGAGGGUUUACUUAAACCAAAGCAAGUUGCUGUCCUUUCCCUCCUUUGAAUAAAGAUUAUUUUGUUUUUAUUAAACAAGCAACCAGCUUGUGACUUUCAUGUGACUUUAGUGAAGCAAGCAAGCAGGUAGGUGCAGCUCAUGUGACUGAUUUACUGAGAAAGCAAUAAGAAUAGCUGGUGAAAGUAUUAGACUGGUCGGAAUUUAGUUAAGAAACUUAACGACAAUUUCGGACAGUUUUCGACUAAAAUUUCUCAUCCUUCGAAUCUCGUCUUGCUUUCAACUAAGCUUGCCUAGCUUAAAUAAAAUUCGACCAACAUUAUUAACACUCUACCAGAACUAUCAAUGAGAGGCCUUUCGGCCACAAGACAGUCCCGUCGAGGUAUUAAUUCACCGGGUCGACUUUAUUUUUAAAUCUGAUCGACCAACUCCAAACUGGUCGAGCGGAGUUUUUCUCGACCAAAAAUUAACUGCCUCGUGAGGGUUAUUACAGUGUGUGUCCGUCAGCACACACAGGACGUCCGUGGCUGUCCAUCAGUACACACAAGACUUCCGUGGAUGUCUGUUCAAUACAAAAAGGACGUCUGUGGGUGUCCGCCAGCACACACAUGACGUUUGUGGCUGUCCGUGUGUGUCCGUCUGUGUCCAUCAGCACACACAAGACUUCCGUGGAUGUCCAUCGGUACACAUAUCAGCACGUUGGUCCAUGGACUCAGGACGCUGGCCCUUCCUGUGGACUGUUUGGGUGAUUUUGGCCCACGUGGGUUGUCUAUUCAGUACACACAGGACGUUCGUGGGUGUCCGCCAGCACACACAGGACGUCUGUGGCAGUCCGUGUGUGUCCGUCUGUGUCCGACUGUGUCCGUCAGCACACAUAGGACGUCCGUGGCUGUCCAUCAAUACACAUAUCAGCACGUUGGUCCUUGGACUCAGCACGCUGGCCCUUCCCGUGGACUGUUCGGGUGAUUUUGGCCCACGUGGGCUGUCUGUUCAGUACACACAGGACGUCUGUGGGUGUCCGCCAACACACACAGGAUGUUCGUGGCUGUCUGUGCCUGUCCGUCAGUACACGCAGGACGUCUGUGUCUGUCCGUCAGCACACACAGGACGUAUGUGGCUGUCCGUGUGUGUCCGUGUGUGUCCGUCAACACACACAGGCCUUCCAUGGCUGUCCAUCAGUACACAUAUCAGCACUUUGGUCCUUGGACUCAGCAUUCUGGCCCUUCCCGUGGACUGUUUGGGUGAUUUUGGCCCACUUGGGCUGUCUGUUCAGUACACACAUGACGUCUGUGGGUGUCCACCAGCACACACAUGACGUCCGUGGCUGUCCGUCAUACCACACAGGACGUUCGUGGCUGUCUGUGUGUGUCUGUGUGUGUACGUGUGUGUCCGUAAGCACACACAAACAUCCGUGGGUGUCCGUCAGCACACACAGGACGUCCAUGUGUGUCCGUCAGCACACACAGGACGUCUGUGGCUGUCCGUGUGUGUCCAUCAGCACACACAGGACGUCUGUGGCUGUCCAUCAGUACACAUACAGCACGUUGGUCCUUGGACUCAGCACGCUGGCCCUUCCCGUGGACUGUUUGGGUGAUUUUGGCCCACGUGGGCUGUCUGUUCAGUACACACAGGAUCUCCGUUGGUGUCCACCAGCACACACAGGAUGUUCGUGGCUGUCCGUGCCUGUCAGUCAGUACAUGCAGGACGUCCGUGGCUGUCUGUGUGUGCCCGUGUGUGUCCGUGUGUGUCCGUCAGCACACACACAGGAUGUCUGUGGCUGUCCAUCAGUAUACAUAUCAGCACGCUGAUCCUUGGACUUAGCACGCUGGCCCUUCCCAUGGACUGUUCGGGUGAUUUUGGCCCACGUGGGCUGUCUGUUUAGUACACAGCACGUCCGUGGGUGUAUGUCAGCACACACAGGACGUCCGUGUGUGUCCAUCACCACACACAGGACGUCCGUGGCUGUACAUGUGUGUCCUUGUGUGUCCGUCAGCACACACAGGACGUCCGUGGCUGUCAAUCAGUACACAUAUCAGCACGUUGGUCCUUGGACUCAGCACGCUGACCCUUCCCAUGGACUGUUCGGGUGUUUUUAGCCCACGCGGGUUGUCUGUUCAAUACACACAGGACGUCCGUGGGUGAACGCCAGCACACACAGGACGUCUAGCACACACAGGACGUCUGUGGCUGUCCGUGUGUGUCCGUCAGCACACACAGGACGUCUGUGGCUGUACGUGUGUGUCCGUGUGUGUCUGUGUGUGUCCGUCAGCACACAAAGGCCGUCCGUGGCUGUCCAUCAGUACACAUAUCAGCACGCUGGUCCUUUGACUCAGCACGCAGGCCCUUCCCGUGGACUGUUUGGGUGAUUUUGGCCAAAGUGGGCUGUCUGUUCAGUACACACAGGACGUCCGUGGGUGUCUGCCAGAACACACAGGACGUCUGUGGCUGUCCGUCAGCACACACAGAACGUCUGUGUGUCCGUCAGCACACACAGGACGUCCGCGGCUGUCCUUCAGUAUACACAGGACGUACGUGGCUUUCCGUGUGUGUCCGUCAGCACACACAGGACGUCCGUGGCAGUCCAUCUGUACACAUAUCAGCACGUUGGUCCUUGGACUCAGCACGCUGGCCCUUCCCGUGGACUGUUCGGGUGAUUUUGGCCCAUGUGGGCUGUCUGUUCAGUAGACACAGGACGUCCAUGGGUGUCCGUCAGAACACACAGGACGUCCGUGUGUGUCCGUCAGCACACACAGGACGUCCGUGUGUGUCCGUCAGCACACACAGGACGUCUGUGGCUGUCCGUGUGUGUCCGUCAGCACACACAGGACGUCCGUGGCAGUCCAUCUGUACACAUAUCAGCACGUUGGUCCUUGGAUUUAGCACGCUGACCCUUCUCGUGGACUGUUCGGGUGAUUUUGGCCCAAGUGGCUGUCUGUUCAGUACACAGAGGAUGUCCGUGGGUGUCCGCCAGCACACACAAGUCAUCAGUGGCUGUUCGAGUGUGUCCGUGUGUGUCUGUCAGCACACACAUGACGUCUAUGGCUGUCCAUCAGUAUACAUAUCAGCACGCUGGUCCUUGGACUCUGCACGAUGGCCCUUCCUGUGGACUGUUCGGGUGAUUUUGGCCCACGUGGGCGGUCUGUUCAGUACACACAUGACGUCUGUGUGUCCGUCAGCACACACAGGACGUCCGCGGCUGUCCUUCAGUAUACACAGGACGUACGUGGCUUUCCGUGUGUGUCCGUCAGCACACACAGGACGUCCGUGGCUGUCCAUCAGUACACAUAUCAGCACGUUGGUCCUUGGACUCAGCACGCUGACCCUUCCCGUGGACUGUUUGGGUGAUUUUGGCCCACGUGGGCUGUCUGUUCAAUACACAAAGGACGUCUGUGGGUGUCCGCCAGCACACACAGGACGUUUGUGGCUGUCUGUGUGUGUCCGGCUGUGUCCAUCAGCACACACAAGACUUCCAUGGAUGUCCAUCGGUACACAUAUCAGAACGUUGGUCCAUGGACUCAGCACGCUGGCCCUUCCCGUGGACUGUUUGGGUGAUUUUGGCCCACGUGGGGUGUCUAUUCAGUACACACAGGACAUCUGUGGGUGUCCGCCAGCACACACAGGACGUCUGUGGCUGUCCUUGUGUGUCCGUCUGUGUCCGACUGUGUCCGUCAGCACACAUAGGACGUCCGUGGCUGUCCAUCAAUACACAUAUCAGCACGUUGGUCCUUGGACUCAGCACACUGGCCCUUCCCGUGGACUGUUCGGGUGAUUUUGGCCCACGUGGGCUGUCUGUUCAGUACACAGAGGACGUCUGUGGGUGUCUGCCAGCACACACAAGUCGUAUGUGGCUGUCCGUGUGUGUCCGUCAGCACACACAGGACGUCUGUGGCUUUCCAUAAGUACACAUAUCAGCACGCUGGUCCUUGGAAUCAGCACGCUGGCCCUUCCUGUGGACUGUUCGGGUGAUUUUGGCCCACGUGGGCUGUCUUUUCAGUACACACAGGACGUCUGUGUGUCCGUCAGCACACACAGGACGUCUUUGUGUGUCUGUCAGCACACACAGGACGUCCGUGGCUGUCCUUCAGCACCCACAUGACGUACGUGGCUGUCCGUGUCAGUCCGUGUGUGUCCGUCAGCACACACAUGACGUCUGUGGCUGUCCAUCAGUACACAUAUCAGCACGUUGGUCCUUUGACUCAGCACGCUGACCCUUCCCGUGGACUGUUUGGGUGAUUUUGGCCCACGUAGGCUGUCUGUUCAAUACAAACAGGAUGUCCGUGGGUGUCCACCAGCACACACAGGACGUCCGUGUGGGUCCGUCUGUGUUCGUCAGCACACAAAGGACAUCCGUGGCUGACCAUCUGUACACAUAUCAGCACUUUGUUCCAUGGACUCAGCACGCUGGCCCUUCCUGUGGACUGUUUGGGUGAUUUUGGCCCACGUGGGCUGUCUGUUCAGUACACACAGGUCGUCUGUGGGUGUCCGCCUGCACAGACAGGUCGUAUGUGGCUGUCCGUGUGUGUCUGUCAGCACACAAAGGACGUCUGUGGCUGUCCAUCAGUACACAUAUCAGCACGCUGGUCCUUGGAAUCAGCACGCUGGCCCUUCCUGUGGAUUGUUCGGGUGAUUUUGGCCCACGUGGGCUGUCUGUUCAGUACACACAGGACGUCUGUGUGUCCGUCAGCACACACAGGACGUCUUUGUGUGUCCGUCAGCACACACAGGACGUCCGUGGCUGUCCUUCAGCACACACAUGACGUACGUGGCUGUCCGUGUGAGUCCGUGUGUGUCCGUCAGCACACACAGGACGUCCUUGGCUGUCCAUCAGUACACGUAUCAGCACGUUGGUCCUUUGACUCAGCACGCUGACCCUUCCCGUGGACUGUUUGGGUGAUUUUGGCCCACGUGGGCUGUCUGUUCAAUACAAACAGGAUGUCCGUGGGUGUCCGCCAGCACUCACAGGACGUCCGUGGCUCUCCGUGUGUGUACGUGUGUGUCCGUCUGUGUUCGUCAGCACAAAAAGGACAUCCGUGGCUGACCAUCGGUACACAUAUCAGCACGUUGUUCCAUGGACUCAGCACGCUGGCCCUUCCCAUGGACUGUUUGGGUGAUUUUGGCCCACGUGCGCUGUCUGUUCAGUACACACAGGUCGUCUGUGGGUGUCCGCCAGCACACACAGGACGUCCGUGGCUGUCCGUCAGCACACACAGGACGUCCGUGGCUGUCCGUGUGUGUCCAUGUGUGUCUGUCAGCACACACAGGACGUCUAUGGCUGUCCGUGUGUGUCCGUCAGCACACACAGGACGUCUGUGGCUGUCCAUCAGUACACAUCUCAGCACGUUGGUCCUUGGACUCAGCACGCUGAUCAUUCCUGUGGACUGUUUGGGUGAUUUUGGCCACGUGGGCUGUCUGUUCAGUACACACAGGACGUCCGUGGCUGUCCGUGUGUGUCCGUGUGUGUCCGUUAGCACACACACAUGACGGACGUCUGUGGCUGUCCAUCAGUACACAUAUCAGCACGCUGGUCCUUGGACUCAGCACGCUGGUCCUUGGACUCAGCACGCUGGUCCUUGGACUCAGCACGCUGGCCCUUCCCGUGGACUGUUCGGGUGAUUUUGGCCCACUUAGGCUGUCUGUUCAGUACACAUAGGACGUCCUUGGGUGUCCGUCAGCACACACAGGACAUCCGUGUGUGUCCGUCAGCACACACUGGACGUCUGUGGCUGUCCGUUUGUGUCCGUCAGCACACAGGACGUCUGUGGCUGUCCAUCAGUACACAUGUCAGCACGUUGGUCCUUGGACUCAGCACGCUGACCCUUCCCGUGGACUGUUUGGGUUAUUUUGGCCCACAUGGGUUGUUUUUUUAGUACACACAGGACGUCCGUGGGUGUCUAUGACACUCCCGAUCGUAGAUGACCAGAAAUGACACGGUCGGUGUUCCUCGAUUGUCGAUCUGAGGUUCUCAGAAUACUUCCGAUCGCCUUAGAACAACAACCAAAGAACACCAAUGCUCCUAUCAGAUAUAACUCUAGGCUUUUCAACCCGACAAAGUAAUACCCGAUAGUUAGUUCGUCCGGACAUGGACUAAUAUCAUAUGGAACCCGUACUAAAAAAAAAACAUUCUUUAUAUAUCAAUCAAAAGCAUCUUACAAAAUUUGUUAUAAAUUAACCUCGAGGUUUUCGGUCAACAAAUCUUAUACAUAAGAUAUAUGAAAAUGACUUUGCAAGGAUAAUAAAACUGCUGCUGGCUAAUGCUGUUCCUUCCCGUCCUAGAGUAAGGUCUCCCGCUGAUACCACUCAAAUUACCCUAAGGAGUGUUACUCUCAUCAAAAGAGGUUUAGAUGUAGUACUUAGGGAUCGAAUCCACAAGGAGCUAGUGAACAAUUAAAUCUGGUGUUUAUUAAUUCUAAGAGUUGUAAAUGUUUAAAUGAAUUAGCAACAGUAACAAGCGAAGUAAAUAGUAAAUGUAACUUGGUUGGAAAUGAUAUUAGAUGCAGGGCCACUAUUCAGGUGUUGGAGAUUAUAAUACCUAUAGAUGCCUAUUUGUUGCAUGCAUGAUAUAUUAGAGCUCAAUCGCUUAACUCAGUGAUCAGCUGUCGCAUGUUUCACUGGUUAACAAGCUAGAUCUCGUGUCUCAACGGUUAGUAUGUCGACAACGAAAGAGUGACGAUCGAUGGUCCUAUUGGGACGACGACAACGAGAGAGUGUCGAUCGAUGGUCCUAUUGGGACGUCGACCGAUACACCUUUUCCAACGUCGAUCGAUAGUGAGUUGAGGACAUCGGUCGACGGGUUCUAGCCAGGCCUAUGCACGAGUAAGAUAUGUCCUAAUAAGAUACUAAAUUGGCGGUUAGCCCUCUCUAGCAGUCCUAAUAUGAUAGAUAGAUGUCAGGAUGGGAUAACAAGGGUGCUUGAAUAUGCAAUCCUAUGAUCAAGUUCUAGUUAGCAAGGCUAAAACAAGUAGUGAAUACAAAUCUAUCAUGAAUAUCACAACAAGGUAGAUCUAUAGUUUGGGGCUAAUUCCACAAACCUAUCUGAACCCUGGAUCUAAUAAGUGAACUACUCAGACAUAGCAAAGCAAUUCAUAACAAUGAAGAAAUAGAAAUUCAUAGUAUAGAUGAAAAGAAAUGAAAACAAGGAGUUCCAAUCACAAGUGAUCUUCUCUCCAAAACUCUCUCUUCUCUCUCAAAGUGAAACUGUAACAAAAAGCUCUCCCUGCCAUCAAAACACUUAGGCAGUAUAUGAUCUACUAGGUUAAAAACUCGUUAGGGCAUUUUCGUAAUUUGGCUUGGCCUUGUGUUUUAAGUCUGUUGGAUCCAAAAUGUCGCGUGUCUAGUGUCUCGACAUCGAUCGAUGGUACUUGUGUACAUUGAUCGAUAUUAAUCUUCAUUUGUCGAGGCAUCCCUUGGUGUCGAUCGAUAGCACUGAUGCGGAUCGAUCGAUUGUUCUUCCUCUCGUCGACCUCUACAUGGUCAGCUCGGGUGAAAUGUCCUUUAAGCUCCAAAAUGGUCCAAAGUCAUAGCUUUACUCCGAAAUGCACCUGAACCUGAAAACAUACCUAGAAGAGUAGAAAACAUAGAUAUAUAUAUAUAGUAAAACACCUAUAUACCAUGGAUGAAAACGGGUCAAAUCCAAGGUAUAUCACCCGCCUAUUGGUUACCUGCAUCACAAAUGAGUCAUGAGUAACUAGUUUACUCAGUGAGCCUAGUCCCGCACCCCAACAUAUAUUAAUAAUAUCUCAAGCAAUCAACUUCAUUUGUAUGCAGUGGAAAUAUAUUUCAUAUCUGGAUAUUUAUUUAUAAGGAAUAUUCUUCCAUCAUUGUGAAUCAAAUCAUAUACCUCACUUCCAUCUCAUAUUAAUCUUUCAAUUAAACCAAGAUUAAUUCUUAAUUAAACCAAGAUUAAUCUAUAAUCAAAACCAUGAUUAUUUCAUAAUUAAGAUGAGUACUUGAGAACAAGUACUAUGAUUAUGAUUAACCUCACUUUAACCUUUUGAUUACUCUUAUGUAUAGUUCACAAUAAGUAAACAUAACACAUUCUUAUAAACUUGAGAGACUUUACUAACUCAAUCAAUCUCAACAUCUAUCUAGACUCACCUAAAGAUUAAUCAUGAAACUGGCUUGGACAAGACUUGAGUUCCACUUGAACAAGGCUGAUUGGACAGGACUGGAUACUUCAAGCUUUACUCUACCUCUGACCUGAAACAGAGUGGUAUGAUCACAAGAUCAGUUCGGUUCAUGCCUUAACACCUUAGAUCUGAUCCGUUCAAGCUUGGUUCUGCUCAGACUAUACAAGUUCAGCUCGGUUCUAGUCAGUUUACCAUAGUUCAGGACAAGAUCAGACUGAGUUCAAAUCGGUUUACUCAAGGCCAGAUCAAAACAUCAUAGCUGGUGAUUCUAAGAGGUUGAUUCAAACCGAAAUUAAUCAAAAUCUAAACUAUAUCACCACUUAGAGAACUGAUCCGACCAAGUUCUUAUGUAAACACAACUAGCUCUGAUCAAGACAUGACUGAGGUAAGAGACCAAAGCUUACCAAGAUGAACCAAAGGACUAGAUGGCCUUAGCUGAUCCUCUUCUCCAAGGUAAGCUUGUGGCUGGACUGAUCAAAGACAAAGAUCAAGGUCUGAUCAUGAUCUGAGCUCAACUAGGUCUAGGGUUUUAUUUAAAAAUCUCACCUUCUGAUCUUUCUCAAGGUAACAAACUGAGCUAAGGUUGAAGAUUAGGUCACCACCAAUUUUUUUUUGACUUAUUUUCCUGAUUUUUCUCACUGAUUUUUCUGUUCUUCUUUCUCUCUUUCUCUCUGAAAUUCUCUAGGUUUUUCUGCAGGGUUCUGAACGUGGGAAGCAGCUGGAGAGGGGUUAAAUAUGAGGUGAGCUUGCUUCAGGUGAGGGUUUCACUCAGGACAAAGCUAAGCUGAGUGGGGACAGCUGGCCAGCUGCUUCAGCACUCUCAGCACAAGCUGCUGUCUUUUCCUUAACCUGAAGAAACUCCAGCCUUUUCAUGUGCUUCUGACAUGACAAUCUAAGAAACAAGGCAAGCAGGCAGCUUGUGAUUGUCAUGUGACAGUUACUGAAGAAGCUAGGCAAGCAGGCAGGUGCAAGUCAUGUGAUUAAAGACUGAGCAAGCAGGCUGGUGGAAGACAUGAGUCUGGUCCAAAAUUAAUUGUAGCAGUUGGUUGAUAAUUUUCAAUAAUUUUUCAACCAAAUAUUCCUUGUCUUUGGCUCUCGUCUUGUUCUCGGAAAAUCUCUUCCAGUUUAAUAAAAAUUCGACCAAAAUAUUUAAGACUCGACCAAACUAUCAAGUGAAGGUCUUUCAACCACAAGACAGUCCCUUCGAGGAAUUAAUCUACCGGGUCGAUCUUUAUAUUUUAUUAAUCGUUGUUGAACCAACUAAAAACUGGUAGAGCGGGAUUUUUCUCGACCAAAAAUUUAUUGGCUCAUAAGGGUAAUUACAAUGGCUGUCCAUCAGUACACAUAUCAGCACGCUGGUCCUUGGACUCAGCACGCUAGACCUUCCUGUACACAUAUCAGCACGCUGGUCCUUGGACUCAGCACGCUGUCUGUUCAGUACACACAGGACGUCUGUUUUCCAUGAUCCAUUCUGAUCACUCACAUCAUCGAGCUUCACCUGGAUCUUGUCCAGCUACCAGCUCGCUUGUCCAGCUCCUUUGAGCUUGUCUCCUUCUUGGAUUAGCUAUGCCUUAGCUCCCUGAUGCCCUUAACCUUACCUUCAGGCCAUGGUAUACUUAUCUUUAGGUCAUAUGACCUGAAUGGUGCGUUUCCUCGCACCGCAGUCCGUCCGGACGAUCCUAUCCAGGAUCGGGGACAUGACAAGUCUCCCCCACUUACGAAGGAUUCGUCCUCGAAUCCAGUGGUGUUAACCUCUUGUCUCAUGACAAAGGUUCCAUCCGAACUCCUUUGUACCCGGAACAUGGAGCAUGCUCGAUUGGUUCUUUCUAAUCAAUUCGUUGCAUCUCCCACCUUGUUCCUUCUCACUGACCACCUCUUGGUCAUCAUAUACCCAACAAGUCUCCCCCACUUGAUAGAUAUUUAACCCAAAAUCUUAUCAAGUGGUCCUUCAAGCACCCAUACAAAGACAUGACUUGUGUCACUGACCCAACUCUCCAGGUUGCGUUCGUAGUAGACACCAAGUCCGUGUAGAACGCUCUAGUUCCAUGACCAGAUCAAAUUCAGUACCUAGGAACAUACUGAGUACUCAAGUCUUAGUAGAUUCAACCAAUCUCCAAGCCACUCGAUGCACCAGCCAAGUCCUAGCGAACAUGUUCCAAUCUUUAGGCUGGUCACUCUACCAUGAGUCCUAACAGAUUGUUCUGUUCCCUUAAGUCCUUCCUGGACAAUAAGGUUUAUGAUUCCAGCAAUUCAUCAAUCCUGGGUAAAGGGUACUUGUUCUUCCCAGUCACCCUGUUCAAACCCCUAUCAUCAAUGCACAACCUAAAGCUACCAUCCUUUUUCUUAACAAAUAGGACUGGUGCUGUCAUGUCCCCGAUCCUAGAUAGGAUCGCCCGGAUGGGCCAUGGUGCAGGGAGACGCACCAGUCAGGUCAUUAGACCUUGAGACAAGAGUAUCAUGGUCCUGAAUGAAGGUUAAGGGCAUCAGUCAGCUGAGACUUAACCAGGAUACGAUGGAAACAAGGGUAAAGGAGUUGAGUGAGUGUUUAGGCAGCUGGAUGAGUGUUGGUUUGAGUUCAAUCAGCUCGGUUAAGCUGGUAUUCAGUUCACCAUGAUCUGUUCAGCUCACAGGAGCUGGUGGACUAGCUCACUCAGCUGGGAACAGCUGGAGGUCAGCUCAAUCCGGUGAACGGUGCGUUCUGGUUUGGAUCAGUGUGGACGAUUCCGGGACGGUUACUGGGCGAGCCGAUGGUCCGGGUGCAGGACGGUUCGACAAAAUUGGUCUUAGGCUUGGGACAGGGAGUGGGCAAGCUCCAGAGUGUGAGCUGAGGCUCAGUGAUCGAUUUGUCAAAGGAAGAAAAGGGGAGAAACCGCCAAUGGGCGGUUAUGGGACGGUUUUGGGAAGAAGGGAUGUGAUUUUGGGUAACUGUUCGCCCAGGCGGUUGGGGACAGUUUAAGUCGUCCUCUCUCUCUCAUUUCUGCCAUUCUGGUCGAUUUUUACUCACUUUCACACAGAGAGAAACACAGAGAAAAUUCAAGAGAGAAAGAGAGACACAAACCUUGGAUUGGCCGAUUUGAUCCAAGAGAUUGUUCUUGAGUGUUCCUGGUGUGUUUGGGCGUGUGAUCAAGAGGAUGGAUUUAAGGCAGAAAGACAAGGAGAAGGCAAAGGAGAAAGAGAAGGAAGUCGCGACUGGAGACCGAACUCCUAAGGUGAGAGGUGUGGCCAAGAGUAACCGGACAAGGCCGCGGAUGAUGGCCGUGUGAGUCUGGCCGGUUUGGAUCGAUUGGCCACUCCUUACUCUUACUUCUUCUACUCUGUUUUCUUCAUAUAUAUUGUACAAUCGAUUGUUUUAUGAUAUUACAGGGAAGGAUCUAUCGAUCUUAAGGCCUUGGCCUGAUCAAAUCCCCAUGAAAGCCCCUUGUUCUUGUGUGGGAUGUUCAUGGCCGAGAUCACUAUGAUCUGAGCUGGUUCUUUUGAAUCUGAUUAUGGGAAAAAUUUUCUUCUGAAUUGUCAUGAUUUAUCAUGAAUUUUAUUUGGUAUUUGGAUCUCUUUUUAAAGGUGGUCAGAUUUGACAUUUUUGAUGAUUGUUCUUGACUAGAUUGGAUCCGACCAUGCAAUGUGAACUGAUUCUUGUUUUGUAAUCUAACCUUGUGAUUAUGUGUUUGUUUGUGUUGGAUCCAGGACCAGAAAUGGACCGUGGUAAGGGAAAAGCACCAUGAGGACCGCGGCCAUGGGAAGAUGUGUGGUGAUUGGGUUGAUUCUGAAAAUUGUGUAAUUAUUGUAGCCUAUUGUGCAACUUGUGAACUUAUGAGAUUCUAGUGUGUGAUCCAUUUAUUAGGAUGAUGAAUGAUGUAUGAACCUUGGUUAUUAUCUAUGAAAUAUCUAUUUGCCCUAGUCGAAGUUGGAUUGUUUAAGUGUGAAUGUUGGAACCUCAAAACUCUGAAAAAGACUUAGAAUUAUUUAACACUUGAACUUGAAUAUGUAAAUGAAACUGGUUGCAUUGUUUGGUGAAGCCGCGGUCUGGUUGGAUUGGGGAAUCCAGGAUCGGGUCUUACAAGUUGGUAUCAGAGCAUUCUUGAUUCUAGGAUUUGUUGGGUUAUCCUAGCUCACCACACACUUGGCCGUUUGGACUCAUGGUGAGAUAGUUGGGUUCUAAGUAAUCUUUUGUACUGAUUAACUUAGGAGUGAUUGAGGUUUGUGUGUUCAGUUGUGGACUAACCUUUUGUUUGUGUUUGUAACUCCUAAGGGUACAAGAAGGUAUAAAUCUCGGAAAGGAAAUGAGGCAACUGGAGCGUCUGGAGCAGUGGGGCAGGAUGGUGCUGAACAGACCGGAGUGUUACCAGCUGGAACCAUUCCAACCACAGUGCUACCCGCUCUGGUGGAGCAGGUGGACAAUGCAACCGGACUUCCAGUGGGUCCAACUCUUCCUACUGAGGUUAAUGAAACUAAUGUGGACGAGCAGCAAGAGCAAGUCCAUGGAGACGAUACUGGGUUGUCCAACGUUGGUGCUGGGAGUGGCCAGAAUGUUGAUGCAAACAAUGUUCGGGUCACUGGUGCCGAGGAGGUCAUUGAGCCGACCAUAAGGGGCUUGGUGGAGGCUAUGCAGACAUGGGAGCUCAGAUAGCCUCCUUGACACAGGCGUUCACACCAUUGGUGAACUCGUCCGUGGGACAGGCUAAUCCCCCGGUUCGGGUUGCUGCUGGAUUGGCUGAUGUUGGUGCUGGCCGUGUGGCUGAGGUGAUUGAGAUAGACCCACCGGUCAGGCCAGUGCAUGGUAUGGACUACCUGAAGGUGCUGGAGCAUAUCUCCAAGUUGGUAACCAAACACUUUGCUGGAAGUGUUGAUCCUAUGGAGGCGGACGAGUGGAGAACCAGGUUGGUUCGAAACUUCAAGUCCACACGAUGUCCUGAGGAUUACCAGAUGGACAUAGCAGUACACUUCCUGGAGGGAGAUACACAUAAUUGGUGGUUAGCUUUGGACAAUCGUACCAAUGGUACCAUUGAGCACUUUGCUGACUUUGAGGUUGAGUUCAACCAUAAGUACUUUCCUGCUGACGCGUGGGAUCGUUUGGAGUCCAAGUUCCUGGACUUGACUCAGGGACGGAGGACUGUUCGUGAGUAUGAAGAAGAGUUCAACCGACUCAGGAGGUAUGUGGGAAGAGAACUGGAGGAUGAGAAGGUUCAAGUCCGAAGGUUCAUUCGAGGCCUAAGGGUGGAACUUCGAACCUACUGUUCUGUUUGUAAGUUCCACACGGUUUCUGAGUUGGUUGAGAGGAUGGCCUUGCUGGAGACCAACCUCGCCAAGGAGGGUAAGCAGAAGCUGAAGAGUGUGGUGGUAUCCUCGGGUCAGAGUGGUGACAAGAAGAGGAAGAGGGACUCGACCGAGGAGGGUAAAACCUCAAGUGGUAGGUCAGAGUGUCCUAAGUGUGGUCGACACCACGGUGGAGAGUGCUGGAAGGCCAUGGGUGCCUGUACUGGAUGUGGUAAGAUGGAUCACUCAGCCAAGGAUUGUCCAAGCCCGUUGGGUGAGUCCAGGACAUGUCACCACUGCGGCCAGAAGGGCCACUACCGCAGGGAUUGCCCUAAGUUGCAAGGCAACCAAAGUAAGGGACGUGGAGAGGCUAGCAGGCCAGUCCAGGGACGAGGCCAGACCUCAACACCUCGUGUGUAUGAGCUAUCCAUGGAUGUGGAUGGGACUCAGCCUUUCCAAAUGAUCACUGGUAACAUUCUAGACUACUACUUUUACAAUUCCAGUAGAAUUGCAUGGUAUGGAACCUAGGAUGGAUAGAUAUACUUUGAUGGGUCUUGUGUAGGGACCUUAACUAUUGGUGGUGUGGAAACACACACAUUAUUUGAUACUGGAGCUACACAUAGUUUUGUUAGUCCAAGUAUGAUAGGAAAAGGUUUGUUCCAGUAUGGAACAUGGGAUGGUCUUGAACGAGUGAGUGCGGCCGGAGGGCAAGUUAUGAACUCACUCGGUCUGGUUAAGGACAUCCCUGUGGUGAUCUUGGAUAUGCCGAUGCCAAUAGAUCUGAUUGUUGUCCCCCUCAAGCAUUAUGAAGUGAUCUUGGGCAUGGACUGGUUGGGAAAGUAUCGGGCAACUCUAGAUUGUCACCGGGGAAGGGUGCAACUUGAGAACGAGUUUGGACCCCCCGAUUAAGUACCAAAGAAUCAAGCCAACCUCUUGUAGUUUGGUGGUUUCAGCAGUCCAAGUAGAACGGAUGCUUUGAAAUGGUUGUGAGGCCUUUUUGGCUACCAUUUACACUGAUGAGGUUGUAGGGGCCUGCGACCUAGAGGGUAUACCGUUGGUUCGGGAAUUUCAGGAUGUGUUUGGGGCACUACAGGGCAUUCCCCCUGAUAGGGCUGACCCAUUCAUCAUUGAAUUGGAACCUGGAACGGCCCCAUUAUCAAAAAGUCCAUAUAGAAUGUCACCAGCUGAGAUGGCAGAGCUGAAGAAGCAACUUGAGGAGUUGCUUCAGAAGGGGUUCAUACGCCCUAGUGUAUCACCUUGGGGAGCACCAGUCCUAUUUGUUAAGAAAAAGGAUGGUAGCUUUAGGUUGUGCAUUGAUUAUAGGGGUUUGAACAAGGUGACUGUGAAGAACAAGUACCCUUUACCCAGGAUUGAUGAGUUGUUGGAUCAACUCUGUGGAACCAAGUGGUUCUCCAAGAUUGACCUGGCCUCUGGGUAUCAUCAGAUCCCCAUUGCACCAGACGAUGUGAGGAAGACAGCGUUCCGAACUAGGUAUGGCCACUAUGAGUUUGUGGUUAUGCCGUUCGGACUGACCAAUGCACCUGCUGCAUUCAUGAAGAUGAUGAACGGCAUCUUCAGGGAAUACUUGGACGAGUUUGUGAUCAUCUUCAUUGAUGAUAUACUCGUGUAUUCCAAGACAAAGGAGGACCAUGAAAGACACCUUAGGGCGGUGUUGGGCCGCCUGAGAGAACAGAUGCUCUUUGCUAAGCUAAGCAAGUGUAGUUUCUGGCAGAAGAGCAUUGGGUUCCUUGGACAUGUGGUGUCUGAAAAAGGAGUCUCAGUGGAUCAAGAUAAGAUCAAAUGUAUCCAGGAAUGGCCACAGCCACAGAAUGCUACGGAAGUUAGAAGCUUCUUAGGGUUGGCUGGUUAUUACAGGAAAUAUGUCAAGGGGUUCUCGAGCAUAGCUCAACCUAUGACUAAGCUGACAGGCAAGGACGUGAGGUUCACAUGGUCUGAGGAGUGUGUGAAAAGUUUUGCAGCACAUGGUCUGUUGCCUGAGGCUGAUCAGCCUUAUGUGGUGUAUACGGAUGCGUGCAUAACCGGUCUUGGUUGUGUUUUGACACAACAUGGGAAGGUCAAAGCCUAUGCUUCCCGACAGUUAAGGAAGCAUGAGGGUAACUAUCCGACCCAUGAUUUGGAGAUGGCUGCAGUAGUAUUUGCAUUAAAGAUAUGGAGAUCAUAUCUUUAUGGUGCCAGGGUGCAAAUACUCACAGACCAUAAGAGCUUGAAGUACAUAUUCACUCAGCCUGAAUUAAACUUAAGGCAGAGGAGGUGGAUGGAGUUUGUUGCAGAUUAUGUUCUGGACAUAGCUUAUCAUCCUGGGAAAGCUAACCUAGUGGCUGAUGCUUUGAGCCGCAGAAGGGCUGAAGUGUCAUCUGAGAGGGAGGCGGAUGAACUGGAAGGGAUGAUCAGGUCCUUGAACCUCAACACCUUGGUUGGUUCAGAUGAGCCAUUGAGGUUGGAGGCAGUGAACCAGGCCGAUCUCCUGACCAGGAUCAGGCAAGCACAGGGCCUGGAUGAAAAUCUAAAGAAGGUAGCCGCCAAUGACAAGACCGAGUACCAGACAACUGACAAUUGUACCAUCUUGGUCAAUGGGAGGGUCAGUGUUCCUAAUGAUAAGGAACUCAAAGAAGAGAUUAUGAGACAGGCUCAUAAGUCUAAGUUUUCAGUUCAUCCUGGACUGAACAAGAUGUAUAGGGAUCUGAAAAGGUACUACCAUUGGGUGAGGAUGAAAUCUGAUGUUGCAGAGUGGGUGGCUAAGUGUCCCACUUGUCAACUGGUGAAGGCAGAACAUCAGGUUCCCAGUGGUCUACUUCAGAACCUACCCAUACCAGAAUGGAAAUGGGAUCUUUUUCACAAUGGAUUUUGUGACUGGAUUUCCCACGACCAGGAAUAAGAAAGAUGCAGUGGGGGUUGUGGUUGAUCGGCUAACCAAGUCGGCUCAUUUCCUGCCUAUCAACAAAGGGGAUGGGGUCGAUAGGAUUGUGCAAGUGUACCUAGACGAGAUAGUGAGGUUGCAUGGUGUUCCAGCAAGCAUUGUCUCGGACAGGGAUCCAAGAUUUUACAUCUUAUUUCUGGCAGGCUUUCCAAAAGGCCUUGGGAACCAGAGUGAAUAUGAGCACAUCUUAUCAUCCUCAAACGGAUGGGCAGUCUGAAAGGACAAUCCAAACCUUGGAGGAUAUGCUAAGGGCGUGUGUGUUAGACUGGGGAGAGUCUUGGGAAAAACACUUACCCUUAGUGGAGUUUGCUUACAAUAACAGCUUCCAUACAAGCAUUGGCAUGUCGCCAUAUGAGGCUUUGUAUGGUAGGCCGUGCAGGACACCCCUAUGCUGGACCCAAGUGGGGGAGCGUAGCAUGUUGGGUCCUGAGAUUGUAGAACAGACCACUGAGAAGAUCAGGAUGGUCAAAGAGAAGAUGAAAGAGGCGCAGGACCGCCAAAAGAGCUAUGCAGACAAGCGUAGGAAACAUCUUGAGUUUGAGGUCAAUGACCUGGUGUAUCUCAAGAUGAUUACCUUUAAGGGUAGGACCAGGGUUUCUGGACGAAAGAAACUGGAUCCUAGGUACUUGGGUCCAUUCAGGAUCAUAGAGAGAGUGGGUGCAGUGGCAUACAAGGUUAACUUGCCAUCAGCAAUGGAUGCAUACCACAAUGUGUUCCAUGUAUCCCAACUCCGGAAAUGCUUCUCUGAACAAGACAUUGUCUUGCCCGAGAUUCCUGCUGACCUUGGUAAGGACCUGGCUUUGGAAACCUUGCCGGUUCGGAUUGUGGAUCGGUCAGAGAAAGCUAUGAGAAAGAAGACAGUUCCCAUGAUCAAAGUGGUGUGGGAUUACAAUGGUAAGGACCUCAUCACUUGGGAAACAGAAGCAAAAAUGAAAGCUAUGUAUCUGGAUUGGUACAUACAAUUUCUUCCUGAGGAAACACUUAACAUGGAUUCAAGGACGAAUCCCAAGUUAGUGGGGGAGACUUGUCAUGUCCCCGAUCCUAGAUAGGAUCGCCCGGACGGGCCAUGGUGCGGGGAGACGCACCAGUCAGGUCAUUAGACCUUUAGACAAGCGUAUCAUGGUCCUGAAUGAAGGUUAAGGGCAUCAGUCAGCUGAGACUUAACCAGGAUACGAUGGAAACAAGGGUAAAGGAGUUGAGUGAGUGUUUAGGCAGCUGGAUGAGUGUUGGUUUGAGUUCAAUCAGCUCGGUUAAGCUGGUAUUCAGUUCACCAUGAUCUGUUCAGCUCACAGGAGCUGGUGGACUAGCUCACUCAGCUGGGAACAGCUGGAGGUCAGCUCAAUCCAGUGAAUGGUGCGUUCUGGUUCGGAUCAGUGUGGACGAGUCCGGGACGGUUACUGGGCGAGCCGAUGGUCCGGGUGCAGGACGGUUCGACCAAAUUGGUCUUAGGCUUGGGACAGGGAGUGGGCAAGCUUCCAGAGUGUGAGCUGAGGCUCAGUGAUCGAUUUGUCAAAGGAAGAAAAGGGGAGAAACCGCCAAUGGGCGGUUAUGGGACGGUUAUGGGACGGUUUUGGGAAGAAAGGAUGUGAUUUUUGGUAACUGUUCGCCCAGGCGGUUGGGGACAGUUUAAGUCGUCCUCUCUCUCUCAUUUCUGCCAUUCUAGUCGAUUUUUACUCAGUUUCACACAGAGAGAAACACAGAGAAAAUUCAAGAGAGAAAGAGAGACACAAACCUUGGAUUGGCCGAUUUGAUCCAAGCGAUUGUUCUUGAGUGUUCCUUGUGUGUUUGGGCGUGUGAUCAAGAGGAUGGAUUUGAGGCAGAAAGACAAGGAGAAGGCAAAGGAGAAAGAGAAGGAAGUCGCCCCUGGAGGCCGAACUCCUAAGGUGAGAGGUGUGGCCAAGAGUAACCGGACAAGGCCGCGGAUGAUGGCCGUGUGAGUCUGGCCGGUUUGGAUCGAUUGGCCACUCCUUAGUCUGACUUCUUCUACUCUGUUUUCUUCAUAUAUAUUGUACUAUGGAUUGUUUUAUGAUAUUACAGGGAAGGAUCUAUCGAUCUUAAGGCCUUGGCCUGAUCAAAUCCCCAUGAAAGCCCCUAGUUCUUGUGUGGGCUGUUCAUGGCCGAGAUCACUAUGAUCUGGGCCGGUUCUUUUGAAUCUGAUUAUGGGAAUAUUUUUCUUCUGAAUUGUCAUGAUUUAUCAUGAAUUUUAUUUGGUAUUUGGAUCUCUUUUUAAAGGGGUCAGAUUUGACAUUUUUGAUGAUUGUUCUUGACUAGAUUGGAUCCGACCAUGCAAUGUGAACUGAUUCUUGUUUUGUAAUCUAACCUUGUGAUUGUGUGUUUGUUUGUGUUGGAUCCAGGACCAGAAAUGGACCGUGGUAAGGGAAAAGCACCAUGAGGACCGCAGCCAUGGGAAGAUGUGUGGUGAUUGGGUUGAUUCUGAAAAUUGUGUAAUUAUUGUAGCCUAUUGUGCAACUUGUGAACUUAUGCGAUUCUAGUGUGUGAUCUAUUUAUUAGGAUGAUGAAUGAUGUAUGAACCUUGGUUAUUAUCUAUGAAAUAUCUAUUUGCCCUAAUCGAUGUUGGAUUGUUUAAGUGUGAAUGUUGGAACCUCAAAACUUUGAAAAAGACUUAGAAUUAUUUAACACUUGAACUUGAAUAUGUAAAUGAAACUGGUUGCAUUGUUUGGUGAGGCCGCGGUCUGGUUGGAUUGGGGAAUCCAGGAUCGGGUCUUACAGGUGCUCCCCAAGGUGAUACACUAGGGCGUAUGAACCCCUUCUCAAGCAAAUCCUCAAGUUGCUUCUUCAGCUCUGCCAUCUGAGCUGGUGCCAUUCUAUAUGGAUUUUUAGAUAAUGGGGCCGUUCCAGGUUCCAAUUCAACGAUGAAUGGGUCAGCCCUAUCAGGGGUAAUGCCCUGUAGUGCCCCAAACACAUCCUGAAAUUCCCGAACCAACGGUAUACCCUCUGGGUUACAAGCCCCUACAACCUCAUCAGUGUAAAUGGUAGCCAAAAAGGCCUCACAACCAUUUCCAAGCAUCCGUUCUACUUGGACUGCUGAAACCACCAAACUACAAGAGGUUGGCUUGAUUCCUUGGUAUUUAAUCGGGGUCCAAACUCGUUCUCAAGUUGCACCCUUCCCCGGUGACAAUCUAGAGUUGCCUGAUACUUUCCCAACCAGUCCAUGCCCAAGAUCACUUCAUGAUGCGUGAGGGGGACAACAAUCAGAUCUAUAGGCAUCGGCCUAUCCAAGAUCACCACAGGGAUGUCCUUAACCAGACCGAGUGAGUUCAUAACUUGCCCUCCGGCCGCACUCACUCGUUCAGGACCAUCCCAUGUUCCAUACUGGAACAAACCUUUUCCAAUCAUUCCUGGACUCACAACACUAUGUGCAGUUCCAGUAUCAAAAAGUACGUGUGUUUCCACACCACCGAUCAUUAAGUACUUAGAUGAGUAGGAUCUCGGUUUGAUCACACAUUUGGAAAAUGUCCCAUACCAUUCUCCAAAGCAUCACACAUCUGUGAACGUCCCAUACCAUUCACAAAAGUGUUUAUAGUAUACCUCAAUCCUCAUCAUACUAAGAUACUUAACAUCGUGUUUCCAAUUCCUCUUGGAAUUGAUCCAUUCCAUUCACUCAAUCUUAAGGAAUCCUACCUUGACUUACACUGAGUCCAAGCAGAUCCAUCUGAUCACAAGUCCACUCAUGUACUAGCCAUGUAGCGUCUCCCUUAGACUAACAUGAACAUUGCAUAUGCUCACUUGUUUUGAACGGCCACCAAGGGAUAACAUUUACCUCCAAGAGAGUGCUGCACGUUUCUUUCAACCUAAGCCACUCUCUGGUCCAUGUUACUUCCCAUGUCCAGGUCGUCCAUACAAAGAUCUUGCAUUGCGUCCAUCAUCCAAUCCGUCUACUAUUCCCAAAUAACUAGAUAAACUAACCUUUAUGUUUUCAGGGUCUUGCCGUGGAAGAGUGUAUCUUGGCUAAGCCGGCUCAUCUUGGAACUUCCCCGUUCACAAGCAUGAAACCAAUCUUACCUCAACUCUCGCUUGGCUCACCACAGCUAAGGUUCCAUGUCAUCAUAGUUUUCAGAAAUAAUUUCGGUUUGGAACUCAACAUCCUUGAGCACUGUCCGUAACUGGAUCAAGCAUGCUCUGAUACCAACUUGUAAGACCCGAUCCCGGCCGACUAGGCCGCGGUCGAUGCCUCACGUCGCUCAGUCCAUACCCGGACCGAACCUCUAAAAAUUUUGCCCUUUAUUUAAAAUAUUGCCCAUUGGCGAGGGCUAACUCAGAUCCUAGCUCAAGACUACCUUAGUCAUUCCCUAGCUAGAUCCUUUCAACUUAUGCACAGCGGAAUAGUAUCUACUUAACCAUUGGUCUAUAACCAAUAUAAUACUUCUCUGGUCGAAUCACCUCGGCUAAUGGUUAGUAUACUUAACUACCAGCUAGCUCCAAGGUCAAUCCCGAACCCAAAUCAAGGCAUACAAAUCUGAGGUUCCAUUCCCCUAACCAUUCUAUCUAGAUCUAUGCAACAUUGCUAGAUCAUACCUUUGCCACACCCAUGGAGCUUGUUAGCUCAUCGGCCCAGCUACUCUAGCUGAAUGAACUCAUAAACCAGCUGAUCGAGCUGUCACACUCGAACUGAGCUAGGACCGAGCUAUGGCCAGCUGCAAUAUACUGCGUCUAGCUCCUUUACACACACAAAACAACUCCCUUAGGUACUUAGUCAUUCAGCCAACCAUCCCCACAGACAUAAGUAACCCUUGAGAAGUCUUCAAACAGCUAAGGACAUGCAUCUGGCCCUUACCGGCUCAUGCACUGUCCCACAUCCUUUUGCCUUAUCAACUUAUGAUACCAAGUCCAGCUCAUGGACUAACAAUACCCAUCAGAUCCUGAGUCAAUCAACCAACCACCCCACACGACUCAGAACUUAUGAGUCUUCAUACUUCCUAAUCAGUCAUGGAACCAUGUCCCACUGAACCUGAUUAGUGUUGCUCUUACCACCGGUGCAUCCUUCGAUUAAUCAGAUCAGACACCUUGAUCUAUCAUCCAAGUAUCAGGUCGUCCAUCCUUGCCCAUGAUCAGAUCACACACGGCCUGCCUUACCAACACCAAGGUUGAUAACCAGCAAUUCCUUAUGAUCAAUAUCAUAAGUGACAAUAUGUUCCAGCACACAAACAUAUAUCAGAUAUCCUAACUCAAGGAUCUGACCCCAAUAUGCCCUCAGGUGCAAUUUCGACCCCAAGAAAACCUGCUCCAAAAAUCAAUUAAAAUUCAUGACAGUUCAUGAUAAAUCAUAACUAAGAGAAUGGUCCAAUCAGAUUUCCCAGAACCGGCCUCCAUCCCAUAGAUCUCGGCCAAGAUCAGCCGAACCGGCCCAAGGGACCAUCUCUAAAUCAAUCAGAUAAAAAUCCCCAAAUACCAUGAUAAUUCAUGAUAAUUCACCACUAAGAGGAUUCUAAAGCCAGAUCACCAUAAAUCCAUCAGGAAGUAGGAGAUCCAUACUUAGCUGCCAAACCAAGGCCAUGGAGGGUUCUUCUGAACCGGCCAAGCCAUGGUUCAGUGCUACUAUGUCUAAUCAUCAAUCUCAAUCAUAAGAAGAAGGAAUAAUAUGAUUAAUAAUCAUAAAACAGAGUAAGGUGUAACUGCAGGACCAGAUCUGCCCAUAGUGUACCAGACUAAGUCAAAUGGUCUGCAGUCCCCACCUGUUACCUCAUCAGGGGCGUCCAUGCUCCUCCUAGCACGCCUUCAUCAAACCCUUAUCACAUACUCCCAGUAUUGAUAAGAUCUAACCAUGCUGGCCCUUCCCGUGGACUGUUCGGGUGAUUUUGGCCCACGUGGGCUGUCUGUUCAGUACACACAGGACGUAUGUGGGUGUCCAUCAGCACACACAGGAUGUCCUUGGCUGUCCAUAAGUACACACAUGACAUCUGUGGCUGUCUGUGUGUGUCUGUGUGUGUCCGUCAGCACACACAUGACGUCUGUGUCUGUCCAUCAGUACACAUAUCAGCACGUUGGUCGUUGGACUCCGUGGACUGUUCGGGUGAUUUUGGCCCACGUGGGCUGUCAGGGUGAUUUUGGCCCACGUGGGCUGUCUGGUCAGUACGCACAGGACGUCCGUGGCUGUCCGUGUGUGUCCGUCUGUGUCCGUCAGCACACACAGGACGUCCGUGUCUAUCCAUCAGUUCACAUAUCAGCAUGUUGGUUUGUGGACUCCACAUGAUGGCCCUUCCCGAGGACUGUUUGGGUGAUUUUGGCCCACGUGGGCUGUCAGUUCAGUAAACACAGUGGCUGUCCGUCAGCACACACAGGACGUCCGUGGCUGUCCGUGUGUGUCCGUGUGUGUCUGUGGGUGUCCGCCAGCACACAUGACGUUCGUGGCUGUCAGUGGCUGUCUGUCAGCACACACAGGACGUCCAUGUGUGUCCGUCAGCACACACAGGACGUCCAUGUGUGUCCGUCAGCACACACAGGACGUCCAUGUGUGUCCGUCAGCACACAAAGGACAUCCAUCAGUACACAUAUCAGCACGCUGGCCCUUCCCGUGGACUGUUUGGGUAAUUUUGGCCCACGUGGGCUGUCUGUUCAUUACACACAAGACUUCCGUAGGUGUCCGCCUGUCACGCCCCCAAUCCUGGAAAGGAUUGUCAGGACGGCCAUGGUCGAAAAAGAAGGUUAAGAACAUAAGGAAACUUAGACUUAACCUUAUAUAAGCUAAGAGACAGCUAGGACGAGUAAGACGGUAACUGGACGAAGUAGACGAGUAGCUCGACCAGCUCAAUGAAGCUAGGUUUAGUUCACUCCAGCUCAGUCCCUACUAAGUCAGCUCCACUAGCUGGACUACUAGCUCACUCAGCUGAGACAGCUGAGAGUCAGCUCAUCUCAGCUAGACGGACUGUUCGGGCUUUAGGCCGAUGGUCCGGCUCCGGGUCAGUGGCGAGCUGUGAGGUCCGGCCAUGAGGCCAUGGGCUGUUGGGUCUUUGGACAAGGCCGUGGGCUAAGUCCAGGAGGCUUGGGGCGUGGGUUGGGCUUAUGACCGACCCCCAACCGAAUCAGAAAGGGCGAUGGGAUGCAAGUGGAGAGAGAGAGAGAGUACCGGCCAAGAGAUCGGCCAGAAAAGGGCCGGUCGUGGUGGUUUUGUAUCUCCGGCAAGGAGAACGGUUUAGGAGAGAGGAGGCCGUGUGGUUAUGAAUACCCAAGGCAUAGAGAAAGGUCUGGAGAAGGACUCCAAAGCCGUGGUUCAGUCAGAUAGGGUCAGUGGGGUAACCACCGACUCAUCGGCUAAAACAAUCGGACAGUCCGAACCGGUCUAGCCAUGGGCGUUUGGAUUGUGUCCUAUUCUUCUCAUUCUUUUCAUCCAAUUCUUCUUCUACUCCUUCUGUACAUUGGCGUGGCCUUGUGGAUAUGUUGGGAUUGGUUAUAACCGUGGGUCUGGUUGAGUAAUGCGGUCGCGGUCCAUAAACGUUGAGUUAGGCGCGCGCAUGGUCUCAACCGGCCUCAGGUGAUCCGAUUGGAUAGGGGCGGUUCUGUUCUGUUCUGAACGGUUGCAACCCUUCCCUGAACAGUCACAAUGGUUCAUGACUUGUGUAGGUUACGGCGUGGUCCUUUGGCCAUAGGCCGGACACACGUACAGACCAGACAGUCCAUACGGACAGUUAGGUCGAACGGUUGGAACAUCUGAAUGGGUGCGAGUUGCCAAGGGUCAUGAGUUGCCAAGAGGCACGAGUGUCCAAAGGGUACUAGUUCCCAAAGGGUGUGAGUUCCAAAACGGUGCCAUUGGUUCAAGGCUUAGGCCAAACCAAGUGGACAGUCCGCGGCUGCAUAGUCAAACGGAUGGACGGUUAGUUUAACCGGAGUGUUGUGUUGCAAGGUCUGAUUGGUUGCAAGGCAAUCCGGUUUGGUCUUGGGCCUUACUCUCUGGUAUGGAUCCAGGCUUUGGGUCAUAUCAGGGAAGAAGGUCCGUGAGCCUUUGGGCCAGACUUAUAACUGGUCGAUCGCACCUAGAUCUUAACCAGACGGUUAGACGGGACUAUGGACGAUCCGGCUAUGGUUGGAUGGCUUUAGCCGCAAAGGCUAAGUGGGAUAUCUUACAAUAAACCUUGGUUUGGUGAGUAGGAUAGGCGCCAUAUGCAUUAUGUAGGGCGUAGACCCACAUGAUGGCAAUGGAAGGCCGGUUAUAUCAGUACCUGCUAAGUAGACGAUGGCUUAUCAAGUCUGGUGGUCGGAUCAUGUUUCAUGACGAUGGUUCGAUGGCCGAGCACUAGUAUGGAUAGUCACGUUGCUGGAGUAAGAGUAUUGAUGUGAUGCUUCUAGAUAUCAACCUUGGUGUUGAUAGCUUCGAGAUUGGCUAAGAGUCAUGACGAAGUGUAUGGCUAGUACUAUGUGUCGUAGACCAUAGAUACUGAGCCUAAGUGUGAUUGUUCAAGGAAGGCCGUGUAAGAUCUGAUCAUGGUUGAGUAUGGACGACCUGACCUCUGAAUGAUGGUUCAAGGUGUCGGAACUAAUCUGAUUAAGGAAUGCAUCGUUUGGUAUGAACAAAUCAUAUAUGUUGUUUGGGUUAAGUCCCAAAGCCGGUCAGCCCAGAUGAUGACUCAUCAGUUCCAAGUCAUGUGAGGAUGGUUGGUUGAUUGACUUAGGAUCUAAUGAGAUUUGUCAGUCCAGAAUAUGGAUUGGGUACUAUUGCCUAUAUGGCAAGGGGAUGUUUGAGUGUGCAUGAGCCGAGAAAGGCCAGAUGCAAACCCUUAUCCUUUCAAAGACUUCUCAAAGGUUACUUAUGUCUGUGGAGAUGGUUGGUUGAAUGACUAAGUACCUAGGGGAGUUGUUUGAUGCAGGAAUCAAGAUAAGGACCUUAAGUAAGAUCAUUGAGUGAUCGUGGUCCAGCUGUCAAGCAAGAGCAAUUCGAGUCAAUGGAGGACCGAUGAGCUAAUAAGCUCCGUAGAUGUGGCAAAGGUAUGAUCUAGCAUUUACUUAUGUAGGUCUAGAUAGAAUGGUUUAGGGGAAUGGAACCUCAGAAUUGUAUGGCUUGGUUUGGGUUUAGGAUUGACCUUUAAGCUAAUUGGUAGUUGAGUAAACUGACCAAGGCUACGGUGAUUCGACCAGAAAAGUGUUAGAUUGGUUUUAGACCAAUGGUUAACUACAUAAUAAUCCGCUGCGUAUCUGUUGAUAGGAUCUAGGCUAUUAAUGACUAGGGAAGUCUUUAGCUAAGAUCUAAGUUAGCCCUCGCCUUUAGGCGAUAUUAUAAAUAAUGGGCGAAAAUUAAGAGGUUCGGCCAGGAAGUGGACCGAGCGAUGUGAGGCAUCGACCACGGCCUAGGCAGCCGGGAUCGGGUCUUACAAGUUGGUAUCAGAGCAUGCUUGAUCCUGUUUAGGACAACGCUCUAAGAUUAUGCGUUCCAUACCGAAAUUUUUUCCAAAACUAUGAUGACUAUGAAACCUUAGUUUGGGUGAGCCAAGAAACAGUUGAGGUAAGCUAGGGUAUCAUGCUUGUGAAUGUGGGAAUUCUAAGAUGAACCGGCUUAGCCAAAAUACAUUUUCCAAGGGCAAGAACCUAUAAACAGAAAGGUUGGUCGAUCUAGUUAUUUAGAAGUAAUAGACGGGUUGGAAGGGAUGGAAACAAUGCAAGACUUGUUUAUGGAUGACCUGAACAAGGGAAGUAACAUGGACCAGUGAGCGGCUUAGGUUGAAAUAAACGUGCAGCAUUCUACUGAAGUUAAGUGUUAUCCCUUGAUGGUCGUUCAUAAUAAGUAAAGCAUAUGCAAUAUUGAAAUCUGACUCAAGGGAGACACUACAUGACCAGUACACGAGUGGACUUCUGAUCAGAUGGAUCAGUUAGGACUCGGUAUAAGUCAAGGUAGGUUUCCAUUGAUCGAGUUAGUUGGAAUGAAUCAAUUCCAAUCUGAAUUCGUCCAAGGAAUGAUUGAGGAAACUCAUGAUGUUCGUUCCAAUCAAUGGAAGAACAUGAUCUUAAGUACCGUAGUAUGAUGGGGAUUGAGGUAUAUUAAAAUUGCUCUUGUGAAUGGUGUGAGCAUUCGCAAAAGUAAGACGCCUUGGAGAAUGGUAUGGGACGUUUUCCAAGUUUGUGGUCAUACCGAGAUCUUUCUCAUCUAGGUAUCCACUGGAAGUGGAAGUAUUAAAGUUAUUGGCAAUGCCAUGAGGGAUGUUAUGGGACGUUCUUUGUGGUAUGGUCAUGCACUGAGAUAGUUUCCACAAGUGGAUUUGUGGUGUGGAAACACACGUACUUUUUGACACAGAGGCUACACAUAGUUUUGUGAGUCCGGGACUGGUCGGAAAGAGUAUGUUCUGUCUGAUUUCUGGGAUGAUUCGAGACUAGUGAGGGCAGCCGGUGGGCAAAUAAUGCAUUACUAGGGCUCAUGAAAAAUAUCCCAGUGAUGAUCCAGGAGAGAAAUCUGCCUGUAGAUCUGAUCGAGAAAAAUAUCCACGCGCCUACAGAAUCACUAGAUGAUCCUAGGCAUGAAUCUGUUUGGGAAAGUGUCAGGCCACUCUUGAUUGCCACAAAGUUCAUGUGCAAUUGGAGACUGGACCUCACCCGAUCCAGUACCAAAGUCUGAGUCCGGCUCUAAGGAAAGUAGGGGUGUCAGCAGUCCAAAUGAAUCGGAUGCUUAGACAGGGUUGUGAAGUAUUUUUUUACCACAACUACCACUACGGAGCACGGCAAUUUUGUUGUCGUUGGUAUCGAGAUCCAUUGUCUGAGUCCAGCUUUAAGGAAAGUAGUGGUGUCAGCAUUCCGUGUGGAUCGGAUGCUUAGACGGGAUUGUGAAGUAUAUAUUUGACCACAAUUACCACUAUGGAGUGCGGCAAAUUCUGUUGAUCUGAAAGAUCUGUUUGAGGACCCGUUGGUGUCCGAGUUCCCAGAUGUGUUCCGUUCGCUACAGAGUGUCCCCUCUGGUAGGUCGGAUCCAUUUAUGAUUAAACUGGAACCAGAGACAGAACCACUGUCCUAGAGUCCGUUUCUGUCGGCUCUGGCCGAGAUGGCAGAGCCAAAGUUGACCACGUCCGAGAGAGGACCAUGGUCGGAGUACAACCAAGUCGGAGGUUGAACUAAGGUUGAGAAUGAUCAAGUCCAGUAAAGGACGAGGAUCAGGCCACGACCUAUUCGGAGAUGGACCUUUGGUCGGGGUGAAACGGUCAAGUCUGUGAGUGGACCAGGACCAGAGUACAAUCGAGUCCAAGAAAGGACCAGGAUCGAAUUAUGACAAAGUCCAGUGAAGGACAGAAGUCAAGUCUGAGGCGUUUUUAGUCUGGAGGGACUAAGAUCGCAAUGUGGCCAAGCCUGAAAAGGUUGUAUCCGGUUAAGGGGAUGAUCCAGUACGUUGUGGCUGAGGUCAUGAACCUUAUUGUCCAUGAAGGACAAAAGAACCAUAACAAUCUGUUAGGACUCGUUGUAGGACGAGCAGCCUAAAGAUUGGAACACGUUCGUGAGAACUUGACUGGUACAUCGAGUGGUGUGGGGAUUGGCCAAAUCUACUAAGGCUCGAGUAUGCAGCAUGUUCCUAAGGACUGAUUAUGAUAUAGUCUUGGACUAUGAUCAGAUAAAGAAUAAAAUCUGAAGAAGAUGCUAUUCAAAGGAAAUACAUAGACUUGUUGGAUACUAGGGCCGCAACUUGGAGAGUUCGGCCAGUGACACAAGGAAUGUCUUUGGAUGGAUUUUCAAGUAUCACUUGAAUGGGUGCUUGAUGGACCCUCGACUAUGGUCGAAGUAGACAAGUAAGGGUGCCAUCAGCAAAACCAGAAAGGACCACUUGAUAGGAUUUUUGUGGUUAAAUCCUUAUCAAGUGGGGGAGCCUUGUACAACGAUGGUCAAAGGAAUUUUAUCAUCGAAGUGGUCAAUUGGUGGUUUUGAAUCAAGCUUGUUCUAUUCUCUGAUCAAGACUAGAAUAAGUUCGGUUGGACUAUUUUGUCUUGGGACAAGGUAUAAUCAUCACCGGAUUCGAGGACGAAUCCAUUACAAGUGGGGGAGACUUGUCACGCCCCCAAUCCUGGAAAGGAUUGUCAGGACGGCCAUGGUUCGAGGAAACGUACCAGCCAGUCUUAGGACAUCAAGGCAAGCGUUCCAUGGUCGAAAAAGAAGGUUAAGAACAUAAGGAAACUUAGACAUAACCUUAUAUAAGCUAAGAGACAACUAGGACGAGUAAGACGGUAACUGGACGAAGUAGACGAGUAGCUCGGCCAGCUCAACGAAGCUAGGUUUAGUUCACUCCAGCUCAGUCCCUACUAAGUCAGCUCCACUAGCUGGACUACUAGCUCACUCAGCUGAGACAGCUGAAAGUCAGCUCAUCUCAGCUAGACGGACUGUUCGGGCUUUAGGCCGAUGGUCCGGGUCCGGGUCAGUGGCGGGCUGUGAGGUCCGGCCAUGAGGCCAUGGGCUGUUGGGUCUUUGGACAAGGCCGUGGGCUAAGUCCAGGAGGCUUGGGGCGUGUGUUGGUCUUAUGACCGACCCCAAACCCAAUCAGAAAGGGCGAUGGGAUGCAAGUGGCCUAGAGGGCACAACCCUUGGCCGAUGGUGCCUGUUCGCUAGCAAGUCGUGCCUGUUCGUGGGGCAAGACUUACCCCCUCGUUUUCUAUAAAUAUGGGGCCUCUCCUGUUGGUUUCAUUAUCAAAUUCCAGAGUAAAAUGCUCAUAGAAAAACGUAGAGAGAGAGAGAGAGAGAGAGAGUACCGGCCAAGAGAUCGGCUGGAAAAGGGCCGGUCGUGGUGGUUUUGUAUCUCCGGAAAGGAGAACGGUUUAGGAGAGAGGAGGCCGUGUGGUUAUGAAUACCCAAGGCAUAUAGAAAGGUCUGGAGAAGGACUCCAAAGCCGUGGUUCAGUCAGAUAGGGUCAGUGGGGUAACCACCGACUCAUCGGCUAAGACAAUCGGACAUUCCAAACCGGUCUAGCCAUGGGCGUUUGGAUUGUGUCCUAUUCUUCUCAUUCUUUUCAUCCAAUUCUUCUUAUACUCCUUCUGUACAUUGGCGUGGCCUUGUGGAUAUGUUGGGAUUGGUUAAAACCGUGGUUCUGGUAGAGUAAUGCAGUCGCGGUCCAUAACCGUCGAGUUAGGCGCGCGCAUGGUCUAAACCGGCCUCAGGUGAUCCGAUUGGAUAGAGGCGGUUAUGUUCUGUUCUGAACGGUUGCAACCCUUCCCUGAACAGUCACAAUGGUUCAUGACUUGUGUAGGUUAAGGCGUGGUCCUUUGGCCAUAGGCCGGACACACGUACAGACCAGAAAGUCCAUACGGACAGUUAGGUCGAACGGUUGGAACAUCUGAAUGGGUGCGAGUUGCCAAGGGUCAUGAGUUGCCAAGAGGCACGAGUGUCCAAAGGGUACUAGUUCCCAAAGGGUGUGAGAUCCAAACGGUGCCAUUGGUUCAAGGCUUAGGCCGAACCAAGUGGACAGUCCCCGGCUGCAUAGUCAAACGGAUGGACAGUUAGUUUAACCGGAGUGUUGUGUCGCAAGGUCUGAUUGGUUGCAAGGUAAUCCGGUUUGGUCUUGGGCCUUACUCUCUGGUAUGGAUCCAGGCUUUGGGUCGGAUCAGGUAAGAAGGUCCGUGAGCCUUUGGGCCAGACUUAUAACUGGUCGAUCGCACCUAGAUCUUAACCAGACGGUUAGACGGGACUAUGGACAAUCCGGAUAUGGUUGGAUGGCUUUAGACGCAAAGGCUAAGUGGGAUAUCUUACAAUAAACCUUGGGUAGGUGAGUAGGAUAGGCGCCAUAUGCAUUAUGUAGGGCGUAGACCCACAUGAUGGCAAUGGAAGGCCGGUUAUAUCAGUACCUGCUAAGUAGACGAUGGCUUAUCAAGUCUGGUGGUCGGAUCAUGUUUCAUGACGAUGGUUCGAUGGCCGAGCACUAGUAUGGAUAGUCACGUUGCUGGAGUAAGAGUAUUGAUGUGAUGCUUCUAGAUAUCAACCUUGGUGUUGAUAGCUUCGAGAUUGGCUAAGAGUCAUGACGAAGUGUAUGGCUAGUACUAUGUGUCGUAGACCAUAGAUACUGAGCCUAAGUGUGAUUGUUCAAGUACUAUGUGUCGUAGACCAUAGAUACUGAGCCUAAGUGUGAUUGUUCAAGGAAGGCCGUGUAAGAUCUGAUCAUGGUUGAGUAUGGAUGACCUGACCUCUGAAUGAUGGUUCAAGGUGUCGGAACUAAUCUGAUUAAGGAAUGCAUCAUUUGGUAUGAACAAAUCAUAUAUGUUGUUUGGGUUAAGUCCCAAAGCCGGUCAGGCCAGAUGAUGACUCAUCAGUUCCAAGUCAUGUGAGGAUUGUUGGUUGAUUGACUUAGGAUCUAAUGAGAUUUGUCAGUCCAGAAUAUGGAUUGGGUACUAUUGCCUAUAUGGAAAGGGGAUGUUUGAGUGUGCAUGAGCCGAGAAAGGCCAGAUGCAAACCCUUAUCCUUUCAAAAUCUUCUCAAAGGUUACUUAUGUCUGUGGGGAUGGUUGGUUGAAUGACUAAGUACCUAGGGGAGUUGUUUGAUGCAGGAAUCAAGAUAAGGACCUUAAGUAAGAUCAUUGAGUGAUCGUGGUCCAGCUGUCAAGCAAGAGCAAUUCGAGUCAAUGGAGGACCGAUGAGCUAAUAAGCUUCGUAGAUGUGGCAAAGGUAUGAUCUAGCAUUUACUUAUGUAGAUCUAGAUAGAAUGGUUUAGGGGAAUGGAACCUCAUAAUUGUAUGGCUUGGUUUGGGUUUAGGAUUGACCUUUAAGCUAAUUGGUAGUUGAGUAAACUGACCAAGGCUAAGGUGAUUCGACCAGACAAGUGUUAGAUAGGUUUUAGACCAAUGGUUAACUACAGAAUAAUCCGCUGCGUAUCUGUUGAUGUUAUGAACAUGUGUGGAUUGCCAUUAACCAAGACAAGAAGAGAAGGCCCAUCAGGCCACGACCAGGCCCAGCCACGGCCGCGGCCAAGAGAGAGAGUCGGCCACAUCCUAACCGACUUAAGGAGAGAGAGAACCGACAGCAAGGAGGAGAGAGAGUCGGCCAAAGCCUUGGCCAACUUAGGAUAUAGAUAGUUUCGUUUUCCCAUGUAUUAGUAGUUUUCCUAUUUCAUCUUGGAUAAGGAUAUGUACUCUUUCCAUUUAUCUCUAUCUUGUAAUCCUUAUAUAAAGAACCCCUUUUGAUGAUUAAUAAUAUACAGAACAAUUAUACACGAAUUCUCUAUUGUUCACAACACGUUAUCAGCACGAUAGUCUCCAGACCCUGAGACAAAACCAUUACCUAAAAUCCGUCACACAUAAACCCUAAAUCAGGCGGAACUUCAAAUCAAUCGAUCUCUCUAACCCCGACGAACCAGACGACUAGCCACAUAUCAAAUUGAAGCCCUUGACGAGAAGAAUCCAUCAGCCGAAACCGUUCGUCGAUCCGAUGUCAGACGCGCCCACACUUGCAGCAACAAUACACGGCGCCGACUUAGUUCUUUGGAACCCUAAUCCGAACCUACAAGAUUUUCUAGCCAAUUUAAAAUCCUAUGAAAGGAGCUGAAGAGGAGUUAAUGCGAAUAACCCUAAAUUGUUCUUGCUUGCAUUCCGGCUUGCAUCAUCCGAUCAGCUCCAGCCAUAAGGUGUUCCUGAUCCUAGACGUCCUCAGCUCCCUGUUCAAAACAAAGCCAGUCCGUGUUCCAAGUGAGACAGCUCGCAAUCCAGAUCAGCUUGCAUUCGCGAAACAGACAGCUCGCGUCCGAGGUUUAUCAGUCCAUCUUGGAGGUCCGGUUUCUACAAUCUGCAAAACAAAGGUAAUCCUAAUUCUGAAAACAUGAAUCGAACCUGGUUGUCUUGUAAAGAUUGAAACCCUAAAAGAUAAUCUCUAAAACUGAAAGCCAUAGGAUAAUAGAUCAAUACCCUAUGAGUAAAUCGAAGCUCUAUAAGUUCGAUCUAAACCUAAGAAAGAGAUUGAUCCAUUGAUCAAUUAAAAUCAGAGCCUUAAAGGUUUUUGAAUCUCAAAUCAAAUCCCCUUGAUCAAAGAUCAAAGUAUUCGAAAUCCCCUAAAACCCUAAUUAGAAAAUCGGUUUUAAUUUUGAUUUGAAACUUAAGUGUUUUGAUUGAUCACCUAGAGCUGUGAUUAGGAUUGUUUUAAAACUUGAAUCUGAAUCUUGUUUGAACUGAAACCCUAAGUUCGAAUUUUAAGAUCCUAAGGCCUUGAAACCCUUAAUCGGUUACUUGAAUGUUUUAAAACCCUAAAUCUUGUUUUAAAUUCUAAAGGCCUUGAAACCUUAAUCUUAUUUUGCUUAAUCGAUUUUUACUAAAGUUUAGAUUAAAACAAUAUAGUUUAUAAAGUAGAAUCCAAUUGAUUAAGGUUGCUUGCAUAAACAUAUUGAAUGAGAGUUAGGUUGCUAGAUUACAUGAUACUAAAAUCUAGUUGAAUAUUACCAACCUUGAAAUUAAUAGAUAUGCAACUAUGCAAUAGGAUUGAAAACACUUAUACUAAAUAAUCCCCUAUUGUAUAUGGCUGUAUGGCCAAGCAUCCGGAUGGUUAUCGAAACCGGAUUGCAUAAUGAUCCAAUCCUUAGGAUUGUUGUAUCACAUAAAUACUGUGAAGCUUAAGGCAUCACAAUGUAUGACCGUAUGGUCUAGAGAGACAUCAUAUCUGAAUGAUCAUGCGACCUUGUUUGUAUAUCUCAUGAACCGAUCUUUAAGAUCCUUGUAUCAUUAACAUGGCCGUGUGACUUGAUUCACACCAUGAUCGAUUGUUCUCAUAGAUGCGUAAGAACUUGUUUGUGGCCGAGCUUGCUAAAUAUCAUGCGGCUGCAUGACCACAUUGUGAACCUAAAUUUUAAAUGACAAUGUGACUCAGAUAUCGAAAAGGAAAACAAUGAGAAUGAAUUGGUACAGGAUUCCAUCAUCUCAUUGAAGGUCUAAAAGAUCAGUACAUCACUAUGGAAAAUCCACUAGAUUUUUCGGAUGCUUUACAGCAUAGAAAUUACCACCAGAAAACGGUGUUGCUUCCAAAGGCUAGAAAUGACUAGAAGAAUCUAAGAUUCUUGGAUUACAAAGUCAUGGAUGAGUACAACUCAGUCUUGUUUAAGACAGUCUCGAUGCUGAGACUUUGUGGUGAAGUAGUAACCAAGGAAGAGUUACUAGAGAAGACCUAUUCCACAUUCCAUGUGUAGAAAGUCAUACUGCAACAACAGUAUAGAAUAAAAGGCUUCACCACUUAUACUGACCUGAUCGCAUGUCUGCUUCUGGCAGAGACCAAAUUUCGAUAUGACUAGUCUUAUUGCUUUAUGAUUGCAAUUGUGUUUACUUUAACCUAAGUGCCAUUCACGUUUUUUAUAUAUAAAUGAAUUGGUCUUAAGUUUAUUGAAUCUUGCCUAAAGGGCAUAAAAACCGAGUAAGAAAUCAUGAAAGGUAUAGAAAGCCUAGUAAGAAACUAUGGCUAAGGCAUUUGCCUACAAGGCAUUAUAUACACCCAAAGAAAACGUGGUCCAUUGAGUUAUAAUGAAUGGUUUCCAAAUAAGAAACAAUGGACAAACAAGAAGGAAACAAGUUCCUUCAGAUUUUGAAAGAAAAAUCGUCUAAGACCUUAUAAGAAAGUGAUCGAUACUAUACCUAUGAUCUCUACUGAUUUAAACUAUGCUAAGGAUCAGUAUGAUAAAAGAGGCAAGAGAAGUAGUGACUAUAAUGAUAUAUCCCACGAAAUUACACUAUAUGGCAUGAUAGGAUUAGCCAUCCUAAAGUUUAAACUUGAUGCAAAGAAAUUGUAAAGGCACCGAGUUAUCCCGUAAAGAUCUCACGUUGUGAAACAUGUACACAUAGGGAAACUCAUUAGGCGUAAUUAUCCCAAGCACCACAACCUUAUAGUAUGGUCAUGAGGGGGAGAGAGGAUAAACCCAUGAUCAAUACUACAAGUUCGUGUACUAUGGUCUAAAGACCAUGAUAUAUGGCUCGGCCAUUACUCGGCCAUAAAGGGCCAUUAGCCGACCAAAGAGAGGCCAUGAUACAAACGGCCAAACCAAAGAGGCUAUCACCUAUAAACAGCUUGGCCACGACUUGGCCAUGACUUGGCCGUGACUUGUCUGAAUAGUGCAGGCUUGAACGCACACAGUCCAUGACUCGGCCAAAGAGGCCGAAGAGACUAUAACAGACAACGGCCUGGCCGCAAAGGCCAUAACUGGCCGGAGAGGCCAUUACCUAUAAAAGGUUCGGCCAUUACCUAUAUGCUUGGGGACAUUAUGAAUUUACAUGUACAGAAUGAUAAUAUGCAUCAGGCCAUAUAAGUGAGCAUAGAUAUUCCCAUCUAAAGAAUGAAUACGGGUCAUUAAAACCAGACAUACACCAUCUUAAGAGUUCAUUGAAAUAAACCACCACAUACAUAUGUGUGCCGUCUAAGAUGGAACCUCAUAAGAGGAUUGGGAGUAUAUGUUGGAUAUGAGUAUUACUUUCUCCCACGAAUUCAAAGAAAGCUUGAGCCAAAACAUGGGUGAUUAAAAUAGUGGCCAGGUAUGGAUUGCAUAGAUCCGACUAUCCAAACAUUAAAGGAGAAAGAUUAUAAGCUGGAUAAAGAAAGAGUAAAGGAAUGAUAAAAAUGAUUUUAACCAUCAUUGUCUUGGCAAGAUCCUCGGACAAGAGAAUAUGAUUUAAGACGUCCAAAGAAAGAUUAUACAAAGCUAUCUAAUUGAGAAGCUAAUCGAGAUGCCAGACACUGACCCGAAAAGAAUGACUAAGUCAUAACCAGCGUAGCACCAAAUGCAACGUCCUAGAAGAGACAUAAUCAAGUUGCUACAGAGUCUAUACAAGAUAGACCAAGUGUUCCAUAAGAGUAAGGAAACUCGGAUAGAAAGAAAAGGUGCAUAGAAUGAUAGAUCCGAAGUUAUAAGAGAAACCAUACCAGACAUAGAGAUAAGGCUGGCCAGCUACACAUCUAAGGUACCAAACCAAGUGGCUUGGGACGCCAAGCUACUAGGUAAUAAAGGUCCUGGAUAAUGAAAUCUCAAAGUGAUCAGAUCAUGUCUGGAAAAUAAUGGAACUACAUGAAGGUGUCGACACACACAUACAUGAAUACAAAGAUGUAUAAAGAGAAUAGCACUUGAAAGAUAUAAGCGAGGAUCAGAUGAACCCACAAAUGAGUACUCAUCAUACAAUCAUAGAAUCAUGAAAGAUCAUAAAGAUUAGAAAGAUAAACGUGGAGGUUCAAAAGUAUAUAAAGAGAGAUGAGCGUAUUGGCCAUGAACAUAUACAGAAACGCCAUCCGAUAAACCAGUGAAAUAGAUGGAUCUUGUGAGAUAAAGAAACCGUGAGAGAAGAAACAUAAUCACGUGACCUAGAGUGUCUAUGUCUUCAUAUUAACAGCAUUAGACCAUAGCUUGUUACACAAGGUACUCACAAAGAUCAAAGGAACAGAUUAUAAGGAGAUGAACUCCUAUGUGGUGAUUGCUGCUACAGUUUUUCGAAAUUGACAAUGGUCUGGUCAUGAGAAAGAAUUAGAUACAAUAAGGAUAUAGUAAGCAGCAUAUGGAUCACUGGAUAAGAUAAUAUAGAAUGAAAGAACAGCUUCGUUCCUAAGCUGAUUCAUGGACUAAAGCAAAAGCAGCUGCAUAUAGUAUGUAAAAGGAAAUUGAUCACACAUGAUCAUUGAUCUUGGAGUUGUAUAAAAGACAAUCCAAUAACAGUCCAUAUACAUAUGAGAAUUUAUAAAGAAAUUCCUUGUGCUUAUACCAAACCUAAAGGAGGUUAGUAGAUAUAGAAUAAAAUCUAUGUGAGUAACUGGCUAAAGGCGUCCAGCACAUUGGCUGAGAGCAUCCGGUCCCUUCAAAUUCAAGACGUCCGACUAUGUCCGUCCAAGGGCGUCCGGCUCUUCAGCAAAGAGCAUCCAGAUCUUCUAGACACGUCCAGCUUUUAGACCUAAGAGGUGUCUGACCCUUCUUCUUGGUCACGGGCUAAUGGAAACUAAAGAUCAACCAUCAGGUUGCAAUCCGACAUCAGAUCCCUUAAGGAUCCAGCAUAGCAGAAUGGUCUGCUGCUGUAUGAACUCCAUAAAGCUUUGUCCUAAUAUUAAAAGGAGACAUCUAAAUCUGUCGGAUACCAAAGAAGUAUUGUAGCCCAUAAAGCUUAUGAGAUCUAUGACCUAAGGUCAUGAGACGUCAUUAAGAUAGGAAUGCAAAGAAUAAAGAAUACGACAUUACCUAUGGCAAGAAAGAUCGAUGUCCAUACAUGAGAGUGUGUUCGGCCGAAGAGCCAUGAUAAGAGAUUAUAAAACCUCAAAGCAAUAAUCAUUGAACACUCAUAAAAUUAAUAAGUGGACAAGUAUGGACGUGGUCUAUGGACUGGACAUUGAUCGGCCAGAUUGAAACAUGGCCGAAUGGUUAUCAUAGUUAACCUAAGUAAAUGAGUUUGAUAAAUAGACAAUCACGUCUAGACUAUGGACAGAUGCAAACACGUUUUGAAAAGACCAUCCCUGAUGACAAUGUGGUUCACAUUGCUUAGCACACAUGUAUUACCGGGACACUCAAUGUAAAAGGACAUGAGAGACGACCAUGAAAGGUCGAAGAGGUCUAGUUACGGUUCAGUACAGAAACUGGCCAAUUACUCCCUUCCUACACAGACAGGAUAGAUCACGCAUCAAGAUGCGUAGUAUGUAGAACCUACACCGAGGUUCACAUCAGGGGGAGUAGUGCAUGUUGUACUCUUUUUCCUUCAUCAUGGUUUUGUCCCACUGGGUUUUCCUGAUAAGGUUUUAAUGAGGCAACAGUAAGCGUACUACAAAUCCUGUAUGGUUAUGGCAUCCAAGGGGGAGUGUUAUGAACAUGUGUGGAUUGCCAAUAACCAAGACAAGAAGAGAAGGCCCAUCAGGCCACGACCAGGCCCAGCCACGGCCGCGUCCAAGAGAGAGAGAGUCGGCCACAUCCUAACCGACUUAAGGAGAGAGAGAACCGACAGCAAGGAGGAGAGAGAGUCGGCCAAAGCCUUGGCCAACUUAGGAUAUAGAUUGUUUCCUUUUCCCAUGUAUUAGUAGUUUUCCUAUUUCAUCUUGGAUAAGGAUAUGUACUCUUUCCAUUUAUCUCUAUCUUGUAAUCCUUAUAUAAGGAACCCCUUGUGAUGAUUAAUAAUAUACAGAACAAUUAUACACGAAUUCUCUAUUGUUCACAAUAGUUGAAAGGAUCUAGGCUAUUAAUGACUAGGGAAGUCUUUAGCUAAGAUCUAACUUAGCCGCCGCCUUUAGGCGAUAUGAGGCAUCGAGCGACGUGAGGCAUCGACCGCGGCCUAGGCGGCCGGGAUCGGGUCUUACACCGCCAGCACACACAGGACGUCCGUGGCUGUCUGUGGCUGUCCGUCAGCACAUACAUGACGUCUAUGGCUGUCCAUGUGUGUCUGUGUGUGUCUGUCAGCACACACAGGACGUCCGUGGCUGUCCAUCAGUACACAUAUCAGCACGUUGGUCCUUGGACUCAGCACGCUGACCCUUCCCGUGGACAGUUCGGGUGAUUUUGGCCCUCUUGGGGUGUCUGUUGAGUACACACAGGACGUCUGUGGGUGUCCGCCAUCACACACAGGACGUCCGUGGCUGUCUGUGUGUAUCCGUCUGUGUUCGUCAGCACACACAGGACGUCCGUUGCUGUCCAUCAGUACACAUAUCAGCACGUUGGUCCUUGGACUCAGCACGCUGGCCCUUCCCGUGGACUGUUUGUGUCAUUUUGGCCCACGUGGGCUGUCUGUUCAGUACACACAGGACAUCCGUGGGUGUCCGCCAGCACACACAUGACGUUUGAGGCUGUUCGUGGCUGUCUGUCAGCACACACAGGACGUCCGUGGCUAUCUGUGUGUGUAUGUGGGUGGCCGCCAGCAUACACAGGAUGUUCGUGGCUGUUCGUGGCUGUCUGUCAGCACACACAGGACGUCCGUGUGUGUCCGUCAGCACACACAAGACGUCCAUGUGUGUGCGUGUGUGUCCGUCAGCACACACAGGAUGUCUGUGGCUGUCCGUCAGCACACACAUGAUGUCCGUGGCUGUCCGUGUGUGUCCGUCAGCACACACAGGACGUAUGUGGCUGUCCAUCAGUACACAUAUCAGCACGUUGAUCCUUGGACUCAGCAUGCUGACCCUUCCCGUGGACUGUUCUGGUGAUUUUGGCCCACGUGGGCUGUCUGUUCAGUACACACAGGCCAUCCGUGGGUGUCCGUCCGCACACACAUGACGUCCGUGUGUGUCCGUCAGCACACACAGGACGUCCGUGGCUGUCCAUCAGUACACAUAUCAGUACGUUGGUCCUUGGACUCAGCACCCUGGCCCUUCCCAUGGACUGUUUGGGUGAUUUUGUCCCACGUGGGCUGUCUGUUCAGUACACACAGGACGUCUGUGGGUGUCCGCAAGCACACACAGGACGUCCGUGGCUGUCCACCAGCACACACAGGACAUCGGUGGAUGUCCUUGUGUGUCCGUCAGCACACACAUGACGUCUGUGUGUUCGGCUCCAUGUACUGAUCUGUGGACCGCAGUCUAUCACACAGGNNNNNNNNNNNNNNNNNNNNNNNNNNNNNNNNNNNNNNNNNNNNNNNNNNNNNNNNNNNNNNNNNNNNNNNNNNNNNNNNNNNNNNNNNNNNNNNNNNNNNNNNNNNNNNNNNNNNNNNNNNNNNNNNNNNNNNNNNNNNNNNNNNNNNNNNNNNNNNNNNNNNNNNNNNNNNNNNNNNNNNNNNNNNNNNNNNNNNNNNNNNNNNNNNNNNNNNNNNNNNNNNNNNNNNNNNNNNNNNNNNNNNNNNNNNNNNNNNNNNNNNNNNNNNNNNNNNNNNNNNNNNNNNNNNNNNNNNNGAUUUUGUCCCACGUGGGCUGUCUGUUCAGUACACACAGGACGUCUGUGGGUGUCCGCCAGCACACACAGGACGUCUGUGGGUAUCCGCCAGCACACACAGGACGUACGUGGCUGUCCGCCAGCACACACAAGACGUCAGUGGAUUUCCUUGUGUGUCCGUGUGUGUCCGUCAGCACACACAUGACGUCCGUGUGUUUGGCCUCAUGUACUGAUCUGUGGACCGCAGUCUAUCACACAGGAAAUCUGUGGCUGUCCGUCAUCACACACAAGACGUCCGUGACUGUCCGUGUGUGUCCGUGGGUGUCUGCCAGCACACACAGGACGUCCGUGUCUGUCCGUCAUCACACACAGGACAUCCGUGAUUGUCCGUGUGUGUCCGUCAGCACACACAGGAUGUUCAUGGCUGUCCAUGUGUGUCCGUGUGUAUCUAUCAGCACACACAGGACGUCUAUGGCUGUCCAUCAGUACACAUAUCAGCACGUUGGUCCUUGGACUCAGCACGCUGACCUUCCCCGUGGACUAUUCGGGUGAUUUUGGCCCGCGUGGGCUGUCUGUUCAGUACACACAGGACGUCUGUGGGUGUCCGUCAGCACACACAGGACGUCUGUGGCUGUCUGUGUGUGUCCGUGUGUGUCCGUCUAUGUCCGUCAGCACACACAGGACGUUCGUGGCUGUCCAUCAGUACACAUAUCAGCACGUUGGUCCUUGGACUCAGCACGCUGGCCCUUCCCAUGAACUGUUUGGGUGAUUUUGGCCCAGGUGGGCUGUGUGUUCAGUACACACAGGACGUCCGUGUGUGUCCGCUAGCACAUACUAGACGUCCGUGGCUGUCUGUGGCUCUUCGUCAGCACACACAAGACGUCUGUGGCUGUCUGUGGCUGUCAGCGUGUGUCCUUCAGCACACACAGGACAUCUGUGGGUGUCUCUCAGCACACACAAGAUGUCCAUGUGUGUCCGUCAGCACACACAGGACGUCAGUGGCUGUCUGUGUGUGUCCAUGUGUGUCCGUCAGCACACACAGGAAGUCCGUGGCUGUCCAUCAGUACACAUAUCAGCACGUUGGUCCUUGGACUCAGCACGCUGACCCUUCCCGUGGACUGUUCGGGUGAUUUUGGCCCACGUGGGCUGUCUGUUCAGUACACACAGGACGUCCGUGGGUGUCCGUCCGCACACACAUGAUGUCCGUGUGUGUCCGUCAGCACACACAGGACGUCCGUGGCUGUCCAUCAGUACACAUAUCAGCACGUUGGUCCAUGGACUCAGCACCCUGGCCCUUCCCAUGGACUGUUUGGGUGAUUUUGUCCCACGUGGGCUGUCUGUUCAGUACACACAGGACGUAUGUGGAUGUCCGCCAGCACACACAGGACGUCUGUGGGUAUCCGCCAGCACACACAGGAUGUCCGUGGCUGUCCGCCAGACACACAGGACGUAAGUGGAUGUCCUUGUGUGUCUGUGUGUGUCCGUCAGCACACACAUGACGUCCGUUUGUUCGGCUCCAUGUACUGAUCUGUGGACCGCAGUCUAUCACACAGGACAUCUGUGGCUGUCCGUCAUAACACACAGGACGUCCGUGACUGUCCGUGUGUGUCCGUGGGUGUAUGCCAGCACACACAGGACAUCCGUGGCUGUCCGUCAUCAUACACAGGACAUCCGUGAUUGUCCGUGUGUGUCCGCAAGCACACACAGGACGUCCGUGUGUGUUCGUCAGCACACACAUGACGUCCGUGUGUGUCCAGCAGCACACACAGGACGUCCGUGUGUGUUCGUCAGCACACACAUGACGUCCGUGUGUGUCCAGCAGCACACACAGGACGUCCGUGGCUGUCCGUCAGCACACACAGAAUGUCUGUGGCUGUCCAUCAGUUCACAUAUCAGUACGUUGGUCCUUCCCGUGGCUGAUAUUGGACAACCAUAGACUGUCUUGGACUGUUCGGGUGAUUUUGGCCCACAUGGGCUGUCUGUUCAGUAGACACAAGACGUCCGUGAGUGUCCAUCACCACACAUAGGACAUACGUGUGUGUCCGUCAGCACACACAGGACGUCCGGGGCUGUUCAUGUUUGUCCGUGUGUGUCCGUCAGCACACACAGGACGUCCGUGGCUGUCUAUCAGUACACAUAUCAGCACGUUGGUCCUUGGACUCAGCAUGCUGACCGUUCCCGUAGACUGUUUGGGUGAUUUUGGCCCACGUGGGCUGUCUGUUCAAUACACACAGGACAUCUGUGCUUGUCCGUCAGCACACACAGGACGUCCGUGUGUGUCCGUCAGCGCACACAGGACGUUCGUGGCUGUCUGUGUGUGUCCGUGUGUAUCCGUCAGCACACACAGGACGUCAGUGGCAAUCCAUCAGUACACGUAUCAGCACGUUGGUCCUUGGACUCAGCACGCUGACCCUUCCCGUGGACUGUUCGGGUGAUUUUGGCCCCCAUGGGCUGUCUGUUCAGUACACACAGGACGUUCAUGGGUGUCCGCCAGCACACACAGGACGUCCGUGGCUGUCUGUGAGUGUCCGUGUCUGUCCGUUUGUGUCCGUCAGCACACACAGGACGUCCGUGGCUUUCAAUCCGUACACAUAUCAGCCCGUUGGUCCUUGGACUCAGCACGCUGGCCCUUCCCAUGAACUGUUUGGGUGAUUUUGGCCCAUGAGGCCUGUCUGUUCAGUACACACAGGACAUCUGUGGGUGUCCGCCAGCACACACAGGACGUCCGUGGCUGUAUGUGGCUGUCCGUUAGCACCCACAAGACGUAUGUGGCUGUCAGUGUGUGUCCUUCAACACACUCCGGAUGUCUGUGGGUGUCUGUCAGCACACACAGGACGUCCCUGUGUGUCCGUCAGCACACACAGGACGUCCGUGGCUGUCUGUGUGUGUCCAUGUGUGUCCGUCACCACACACAGGAAGUCCGUGGCUGUCCAUCAGUACACAUAUCAGCACGUUGGUCCUUGGACUCAGCACGCUGGCCCUUCCCAUGGACUGUUUGGGUCUGUCUGUUCAGUACACACAGGACGUCUGUGGGUGUCCGUCAGCAUACACAUGUCGUCAGUGGCUGUCCGUCAGUACACACAGGACGUCCGUGGCUGUCCGUGUGUGUCCGUUUGUGUCCGUCAGCACACACAGGACGUCCGUGGGUGUCCAUCAGCACACAUAAGACGUCCCUGUGUGUCCGUCAGCACACACAGGACGUCUAUGGCUGUCUGUGUGUCCGUCAGUGUCCGUCAGCACACACAGGACGUCCGUGGCCGUCCAUCAGUACACAUAUCAGCACGUUGGUCUUUGGACUCAGCACGCUGGCCCUUCCCGUCGACUGUUUGGCUGAUUUUGGCCCAAGUGGUCUGUCUGUUCAGUACACACAGGACGUCCGUGGGUGUCCGGCAGCACACACAGGACGUCUGUGGCUGUCCGUGUGUGUUCGUGGUCCGUCAGCACACACAAGACGUCUGUGGCUGUCCAUCAGUAAACAUAUCAGCACGCUGGUUCUUGGACUCAGCAUGCUGGCCUUUCCCGUGGACUGUUCGGAUGAUUUUGGCCCACUUUGGCUGUCUGUUUAGUACACACAGGCCGUCCGUGUGUGUUCGUCAGCACACUUAGGACGUCCGUGUGUGUCCGUCAGCACACACAGGACGUUUGUGGCUGUCCGUCAGUACACUCAGAACGUAUGUGGCUGUCCAUCAGUUCACAUAUCAGCAUGCUGGUCCUUCCUUUGGCUGAUUUUGGACAACCAUAGACUGUCCAUGGACUGCCGAUCAGUACAUAUAUCAGCACGCUGACCACACAUAUCAGCAUGCUCGUCCUUCCCGUGGACUGUUCGUGUACUGAUUUUGGACAACUGAUGCACCAUGUCAGUACAUAUAUCAGCACGCUGGCCCUUUCCGUGAACUGUUCGUGUACUGAUCUGGACAAGAGCUCGAGUUUUGAUGGACUGGACUGUCCAAGUCAGUCUGAUUGAUGCUAGCCCGAGUUCUAAUGAACUGAUGGUCCAAGUGUACUUACGCUGGCUCGACUUUUCAUAAUCCCACCAAGUGUUAACAUUUUUCCCUUGGUUUUUAUUGUGGUAUGAUCAAGGCCAAGCGUACUGAAGGGCAAGCGUACUGAAGGGAUGAAUGAAAACUCUUUUGGGUUUUAAUGCUCCCAUCAGGAUGCUUUUGGCCGAGACUUGUGCACAUGCGGGCUGCAUUUCAUCGGCCAAUCUGAAAUAUUAGGGCGAGAGUGAAUUUCACCAAGUAAAAAUCUCGAACCUCCGAUGACGUCUUCUUAUAUACUUGAAUUUUUUUGGGUUUUUUUUGUUUUUAACGUUUUGGGGGAGGGUCGAAUCUUAGUGACAAAGGGCUGAAUCUCAGUGGAUCGUGACAGCAAGGCCCCUCUGCCACUUACAAUACCCCGUCGCGUAUUUAAGUCAUCUGCAAAGGAUUCUACCCGCCGCUCAGUGGUAAUUAUAAUUCAAGGCGGUCCGAACAGCGCUUCCGCCGAAUGGACUUAGCCAACGACAUGUGCCUUUGGGAGCCGAAGCUCCUACUGAGGGUCGGCAAUUGGGCGGCGGGCGCAUGCUCGCUUUUAGCCCAGAUUCUGACUUAGAGGCGUUCAGUCAUAAUCCAGCGCAGGGUAGCUUCGCGCCACUGGCUUUUCAACCAAGCGCGAUGACGAAUUGUGUGAAUCAACGGUUCCUCUCGUUCUAGGUUGAAUUACUAUUGUGACGCGGGCAUCAGUAUGGUAAAACUAACCUGUCUCACGACGGUCUAAACCCAGCUCACGUUCCCUAUUGGUGGGUGAACAAUCCAACACUUGGUGAAUUCUGCUUCAUAAUGAUAGGAAGAGUCGACAUCGAAGGAUCAAAAAGCAACGUCGCUAUGAACGCUUGGCUGCCACGCUUUCACGGUUCGUAUUCGUACUGAAAAUCAGAAUCAAACGAGCUUUUACCCUUUUGUUCCACACGAGAUAUCUGUUCUCGUUGAGCUCAUCUUAGGACACCUGCGUUAUCUUUUAACAGAUGUGCCGCCCCAGCAAAACUCCCCACCUGACAAUGUCCUCCGCCUGGAACGACCCGCCAAAGCGAGUCUUGGGUGUAAAAGGAGGGGUUGUUACCCAUCCGAUUCACGGAGUAAGUAAAAUAACGUUAAAAGUAGUGGUCUUCUUUCCCCGCUGAUUUUGCCAAGCCCGUUCCCUUGGUUGUGGUUUCGCUGGAUAGUAGACAGGGACAGUGGGAAUAUCGUUAAUCCAUUCAUGCGCAUCACUAAUUAGAUGACGAGGCAUUUGGCUACUUUAAGAGAGUCAUAGUUUUGUUUUAAUAAAACAGACGGAUUGCCCUUAUCCGUACCAGUUAUGAGUUCGCUGUUCGUCACCCGGGGAAAGAUCCCGAAAGAGCCGUUCCCAGUCCGUCCCCGGCCGACACGAGGUGGUCCGCUUGCGCCAAGUUAGAAGCUCAAGCAGCCCGCCAACAGUCGACAGGUUCGAAAUUGGGACCCCCGAGCCCAGCCCUCUGAGCCAAUCCUUUUCCCGAAGUUACGGAUCCAUUUUGCCAACUUCCCUUGCCUACAUUGUUCCAUCGACCAGAGGCUGUUCACCUUGGAGACCUGAUGCGGUUAUGAGUACGAACGGGCGUGAGCGGCAUUCGGUCCUCCGGAUUUUCAGGGGCCGCUGUGAAUGCACCGGACACCACGCGACGUGCGGUACUCUUCCAGCCGCUGGACCCUACCUCCGGCUGAGCCGUUUCCAGGGUGGGCAGGCUGUUAGUCAGUCUUAGGACAUCAAGACAAGUGUUCCAUGGCCAUAUAAGAAGGUUAAGGACGUAAGGAAACUUAGACUUAACCUUCUACAAGUCGAGAGUCAGCCAGGACGAGUAAGACGGUAGCUGGACGGAUGGAACAAGUAGCUCGACCAGCUCAACGGAGUUAGGUUAAGCUCACUCCAGCUCGGCCACUACUAAGUCAGCUCCACUAGCUGAACUACUAGCCCACUCAGCUGAGACAGCUGGGAGUCAGCUAAUCUCAGCUAGACGGACUGUUCGGGUUUCGGUCCGAUGGUCCGGGUCAGGGCUGGUGGCGGGACAUGGGGUCCGGCCAUGAGGCCAUGGACUGUUGGGGCUUGGGACAAGGCCGUGGGCUAAGUCCAGAGGGAUUGGGUAAGGCCUGGGGCCUCUGUCCGACCCAAUCCCAUGCGGUAUUGGCGAAGGGACGCAUGCGGCCGAGAGGGUGUAACCCUUGGCCGAUUGUGCCCAUCCGCUGGCCAGUCAUGCCUGUUCGUGGGGCAAGACUUACCCCCUCGUUUUCUAUAAAUAUGGGGUCCUCUCUGUCGAUUUCAAUCAUCCAAUUCCAGAGUAAAAUACUCAGAAAAAUCGUAGAGAGAGAGAAAGAAAGAAAGAGAGAGUUUCCGGCCAAAGCAAGGCCGAUUGUGUGGUGGUUAGGUUUCCGGCGAUCUGAUCGUUUGUGAAGCAACCUUUGAUCAAGUAUGGGAGACCGAGAGCAGGAGAAGAGCAUGGAGAAACGUGACACGGUUCAGAACGUACGUGGUGGGCUAUGGCUCCAUCAGACCGAACGGACGGUCCUUGUGAUCGCACCGCGGCUCUGGUCGGUCCAUUAGACCUAACCGUUUCUCCUCUUCUUGUUACUAUCCGGCCCUUUCUCUUUUUUCUGAUUAUACACGAAGGGUUGUGUUGGUUUAGUCCAAGGGACACGACCCUAGACUUGGCCGGUCAUAACCAAACCGCUAACCUAGAUGUUGGUCGGUUCGAAUUGCAACAUAGACUGGGCUGUUGGGCUAAACGGUUGGUCAUGUCCCAAGAGGCACGAGUGGCCAAAGGUCACGAGUUACCAAGGGUUGUGUGUGAUGUCCCGUGGGCUGUUUGUUCAGUACACACAGGACGUCUGUGGGUGUCCGUCAGCAAACACAGGACGUCCGUGUGUGUCCGUCAGCACACACAGGGCAUCUGUGGCUGCCCAAACUGAUCUGCGGCCUUAUCCUUUCAAUCUAAGUCCGAGUUAACCAAGUUUUAAUUCUUAUCUUUGUAAAUUCAAUUCAAUUCAACUGAGGUUCAAUACAAUAAAUCUAAACAAGGAAACAUAAGGGGCAAAUCAAUUGUAUAAAUAUAAACUGAGAUUCAUACAUCAUUCUUAGGUUCGUCCUAAUAAGUUAUACACACUUAGUCUAACAUAAGUUCACAAGUUGCACAAUAGGCUAUCAGUAUUUCACAUCAAUCUACAAUGACCCAUUCACCACACAUCUUCUCAUGGCCUGAGUCUUCACGGUGCCUUUCCCUUACCACGGUCCAUGUCCGAUCCUGAAACUACACAAGACACAAUGCACAUUCAUAAGGCCGAUAUCCUAACAUCAAGUCUAGAUAAGCAUGGUUCGGCUACUUAGAAUCUAUAACCUGUCCAAACCAACAUACUCAAAUAAAUUCCCAAAAACUAAUUAAAAUUCAUGAUAAUCUCUGAUAACUCCAAACUAAGAGAUUCCUGUAAACAGUUUCCAGAAAGAGAGAGUUUCCGGCCAAAGCAAACCGGCCACAAGCCCGAUCGGAUCAUCAGCCGUCUCGGGCCGAUCACUUGCCGUCCACACCACUGACCUUAGGCGUUCUCUCCCCAGGCGCCAUCUCCAUCUCUUUUUCCUUCUCUCUGUCUCUCUGUCUGGUAUCCAUCUCCUCAGGCCUUGCUUCCCACGAUCCGGUUUCUCCUGGAACAGCCAAGCCUCUCGCUGGUUCUCUCCUUGGAUCGCCGGUACUAAUACCUAAAGCAGUAAACCAAAUACCUACUACCGGCCAAGCCGCUAAGAAGAAAUGUAAAGAACGAGAAUUGUUGAAACUAGCAUAUUGGAAGAUCAAUCGGCCAAAAUAACCGUGAGCAGCUACAAUGUUGUAAGUUUCUUCUUCUUGACCGAAUCUGUAACCUUCAUUAGCAGAUUCAUUUUCUGUAGUUUCCCUGAUCAAACUAGAAGUUACCAAAGUCUCUUCUCUCUUUGGGGUCUGUCUCUCACGAUUUUGGCAGAGGUUCCCCUCAAGAAUUCUGUGUCAAAUUCUGGAUCCAGGGCUCUGUAUUUAUAGAGAGAGGGAGUCGCAACAGCCAUGGGGCCGAACGGGUGGGAGUUGUAACCGAAAAGGUGUCUCUCUCUCCUUUGCAACCGUUCGGCAAGAACUGCCCCCAACCGGUCCUCAACUGCCUCCAACUGCUCAUGUCCUUGUCCCUGUCGGUUCUCUAUCCUGAAGCCAAGGCCAAGCCCUUUAACUGACCGUCCAUACCGUAGCCGGACCAUCUAACCAAACCACCAUAACCGUCCUAGUAACCGCCCAACCAUCCAGGACAUGAACACUCCGCCCAGCUGAGUUGAGCUGACUGUUAGCUGGUCCCAGCUGAGUGAGGUAGUGCUUCUAGCUCCACGAGCUGAUGCAUACUGACUGAGCUCCCAUUGAGCUUCCCUGAGCUGCCCAAGCUCGGCCGCUGUCCCGUCCAGCUCCCACAUCACUCGUCCAGCUCUAUUAAACCCAUUCUUUCUUCACCCUUGUGAUAACCCGCCCUUCGGGAUAAAAUGGUCGAGAUCGACAAGUUGGAGUUUGGAGCCAAGCUUUUGGGAAUCAAAGGAUGAUGAAGAGUGUUGAGUUUUGAUCAUUUCAAGCUUGACAUGGAUCGAAGAAAAUAGAAGAUUGGUCGAGCAUCUACUUGGUGGUCGAAUCGCGGGCGAUAAGAAUCAAUCGGGAAAUUCAAAGAACGAGAAGGUUGAAGAAUGGAUCGUGAGUGAAGCAUGAGUCAAAGUAAGCUGCUCUACCAUUGUUAGAAGUAUCUUAGAUUGAUCAGACGGCUGUUUUGGAAGCAUCACAUUUUUGAAGCACGACGGUUUAGAAGCUUGACCUUUUUUAAGACCGACGUUUCUUCAUCACGAAGUUUUCUCGGGAAAUAUUCGUAUCAGUAAAACAAUACUGUGGAAACAUUUUAAGUCGGAAGCAGGACGGAAAUUAAGCAGGACGGGAAGUAAGCAGGACGGGAUCGAAGCACGACGGGAAAACCCGAAAUUGGGCAAAAACCCUAAUUUCGGUAUUAUAAAUUUUUCGAGGAAGCCGGAGGCUCGGGAAAUAUUUUUCAUCAAGUUCAGAAAUCAUCAGGAGUUUAUUAAAAAAACUAUUCAGAUCAUCAGAACGGGCGAAGAAAAAUAUUCGGGAUUGAUCGCUCGAAAAUUCACCAGAAGGGUCGAAAUCAGUCGAAUGGACCGAGAAGCUCGAGGUGGCCUUAUCUAUAGAUAAGGCCGUGAUGUCAACUGCCUAGUAUGGUAGGUGUCAAGGGAAGCACGAGCUGUUGAAGUCCAGGAGAGCACAGCAUGCGGAGUGACACCCAGAAGCACGAGGUGCCGCAUAACCUGCGAUCGAAGCAUGCUGAGCGACAUGUGUGCGCUGUGGUGUCUAUCUGCAUGAGGCCAGGCCGUGGAUCAGACAUCUGGAGGGCGUGGUGUCACCUUGCAUGACAACCUGUUCAUGCCAUCAGACAUGUGGAGCACGAGGUGCCGCCACGCAUGCGUUCGGAGCCAUGCGAAGCGACACACGGGCUGCCACACGGCCUGCAUCUGAUUGGUUGCUGCUCCUUAUAAAUACCCACGACCCCCUUCCAUUUCAAACCAUCCAGAACACCUGAAACUCAGAGAAAAACGUGAGAAAGAAAGCAAAGAAAAAAGUUAAGAGUUUCGAUCGUUUUAGAGUCUUUUUCGGUAAUUUCUGAGAGUUUUCGAGAACAGUUACUCUGCUCGAUUUGAGCUGCAUCUGAAGAAGGUUCUGCUCAACUGAAGAUCAGUUCAGACGUGGAUAUACGUGUGAAGGUUUAAGAAAGGGUUCGGAUUGCAGAAGAGGGGUUCAGGGUCAAGGCCACGAGUCAACCAAAAACUGUGAGUUAUAAUCAAUUGUUUGUAAGUUUUUUUCAUGCAGGUUCCCGUUACUUGGAAGUUGGAUCAUGGCAGGAGGCCAGGUCUAAACUGAGUAACGGUUUGUUUAGUUAGUAGUAAUGGUUAGGUUGAUUAGUUAGUAGCAUGCUUAGUUAUUGCGUGAGAAUCUUAGUAGCAUGCUAAUUGUUAGGUUGAUUGGUUAGUUAGAGAACGUCGAUUGCUUAGAUAAUAUUGCUAGGUUGUGGUUAGUUAGGUAUUCUAGAAUUAGUCUUUAUGCUAGAUUCUAGAAUAUGAUUGAUUGUGUUGAUUAUGAGUAUUGCUUGGAACCUUGAUUAUAUUACCAGGUUUAGUAUUAGUUAUAUUUUAGCCGUAUAGGCAUGUGUAGGAGUGUUUAGUGUUUCCUCAACCUCGUACUUGGCGGGUUUAUUAUUCGCUGGGUCGAGAACACUCAGAGAGACGGGGUCAUGGCCUAUGGCUGAGUGGUUGCACGACGGGGUAGUGACCGGCAGUGGCCCGAACGUACUGGGGCUGUCUCACGGUGACCCGAAUGUACUGUGGGCCGUGAUCAUCGUGUGACAACCGGCAGUGGCCCGAACGUACUGGGGCUGUCGCGCGGUGACCCGAACGUACUGUGGGCCGCGUUCGGUUUAAAGUUCCUUUUCUUCUGGCCUUUGUGGUAGGAAGUUAGGAUAUUGCCGAGGAUGUGGAGGAACACUAAGUUACCAAGGCCUUAGUUAUAUAUAGUAUAAAGGGAUUUGGUAAACCCUAUUUUAUUUUGAUAUCGAUUUUAAAGACUAUAUUCUAGUAUCGAUAUUUUACUCGUAUUAUUUUUCUGCUGCGGAUUUCUGAUUUACUUAUGUUAUUAGGUGAACCUCUCGCUUUAGAUUUUGUUUGGGGUGGAAUAGCGAGGGGUUGUAUUUGUUAGUUGGGGAUUGUAACUCACUGAGUAAUGCUAGAUUACUCACCCAUCACUCUUUAUUGUUUCCAGGUGACCUGUAGUACUCUUAGAGGUCGCGGGAAGUUAGGCCGGCUGGUGUAGAGUUUGCAUCUUUUUGCUAAAGACGUUUUCAGAAUAUAAGUAUGUACUUUUACUCGUUUGGCUAGCCACUACUUGUAUAAUAUGUUGUGUUUGCGAACAUGAAUCAUAUAUGAUAAAUAAAGGAAAAUUUUGUGUAAAACGACUUGUUGUUACUGAUAUUAGAUUGUCCAGCUAACACAACGUCAGAUUGGGGGUACGGGUUGAAAAGCCUUGGGCUUUCGAUCUGACGGGACGUGUUAAUGAAUGGUCUGGCCUAGUCACGAAUUGCACCCUUUGUGAUCAUGGCUGGAUCGUACCUAACCCGUCAUGUAGCGCUUCCAAACCUGGGUAGAAAGUUGGUCCAUUGGUCAUGUUCUUGUUUGAUUGUAGGCCGGUGGUUUGACCUAUACCUAAAAUGGUUCGGGGGUGUUACAACCCUGGUUAAGUCUCAACACUUUGAUGCCCUUAACUCUAUGUCUGAGCCAUGAUACGCUUGUCUACUGGUCUAAUGACCUGACUGGUGCAUCUCCCCGCACCAUGGCUCAUCCCAACGAUCCUAUCUUGGACUGGGGACAUGAGAAGUCUCCCCCACUUGGGAUGGAUUCGUCCUCGAAUCCUCAUCAUGUGUUUCCUCGGGGACCACCUGAUCAUACCACUCAGGAUACUCGGCCUUCAUCCUUGCCUCUGUUUCCCAAGUGAUUACAUCCUUGCCAUUGUAUUCCCACACGACCUUGAUCAUGGGAAUGGUCUUCUUCCUUGUUGUCUUUUCUAUUCGAUCCACUAUGCAGACCGGCCUCGUCUCUAGAGUCAGAUUCUUACCCAAAUCUGUAGGGAUCUCGUGUAGGACUAUUUCCUGAUCAGACAAACAUUUUUGGAGUUCGGACACAUGAAACAUGUUGUGGAACGCAUCCAUGGCUGGUGGCAGUUCCAACUUAUAAGCCACAGCCCCAACUAUUUCUAUGAUUCUGAACGGACCCAAGUACCUAGGGUCUAGUUUUCUUCUGCCAGAAACUCUAGCCCUCCCUUUGAAUGUGAUCAUCUUGAGAUAUACCAAGUCUUCAACUUCAAACUCAAUAUGUUUCCUUCGUCUAUAUGCAUAACUCUUUUGACGAUCCUGUGCUUCUUUCAUUUUCUCCUUUAAGAACCUUAUUUUCUCGGUGGUUUCUUCCACUAUCUCAGGACCCAACAUGCUCCUCUCCCCCACUUGGGUCCAGCAUAAUCGCGUCCUGCAAGGUCGUCCAUACAGUGCUUCAUAAGGUGACAUCCCAAUGCUAGUAUGGAAACUGUUGUUGUAGGCAAACUCGACCAAGGGUAGAUGCUUUUCCCAUGAGUCGCCCCAAUCCAACACCACGGCCCUUAACAUGUCCUCCAAUGUCUGGAUUGUCCUCUCUGACUGCCCAUUUGUCUGGGGAUGAUAGGCUGUGCUCAUGUUCAUUCUUGUUCCUAAGGCUUUUUGAAAAGCCUGCCAGAAGUAAGAGGUGAACCUAGAGUCUCUGUCCGAGACAAUACUAGCCGACUCUCCAUGCAGACGUACUAUCUCGUCCAAGUAAAUCCUCACGAUCUGAUCCACUCCAUCUUCUUUCUGUAUUGGUAAGAAGUGAGCCGACUUGGUUAGUCUGUCAACCACCACCCAAACCGCAUCCUUUUGGUUCCUGGUCGUAGGAAAACUGGUCACAAAAUCCAUUGUGAUGUGAUCCCACUUCCACCCUGGUAUGGGGAGAUUCUGGAGCAUACCAUUGGGCACUUGAUGUUCGGCCUUCAGAAGCUGGCAAGUAGGACACCUCGCCACCCACUCGGCUGUUUUCAUCCUUACGCAGUGAUAGUACCUUUUUAAAUCCAUAUACAUCUUAUUCAGCAUGGGGUGGACUGAGAACUUUGACUUAUGAGCCUGACUCAUAAUCUCUUCAUUAAGCCCCUUGCUGUUUGGAACACUUACUCGGCCAUUCACCCAGAUUGUUUCGUUGCUUGUGAUCUGAUACUCCAUCUUAUCGUCAAGAGCCACUUUUUGCAAGUUCUCAUCCAAACUCUUGGCCUGCUGUAUCCUGGUAAGUAGAUCGGCCUGAUCCACUUCCUCGGAUCCCAAUGGCUCAUCACGUCCCACCAAUGAAUUUAGAUGGAGUGACCGAACCAUCCCUUCUAGUUCAUCCGCUUCUCUUUCGGCUGAGACAUCUGCCCUUCUCCGGCUUAAGGCAUCAGCCAAUAGGUUAGCCUUGUCUAGAUGGUAUGAUAUGUCCAGAUCAUAAUCAGCAACAUACUCAAUCCUUCUUCUUUGUCUCAAGUUCAACUCAGGCUGAGUGAAAAUGUACUUCAAGCUCUAAUGAUCAGUGAGAAUCUGGACUUUGGCUCCGUACAGAUACGAUCUCUAUAUCUUCAAAGCAAAGACCACGGCC
rnacentral:lncRNA from 1 species